UCAAAUUAAAAUUUUGCACUUGGAAAACAUUUCCACAAACUUAAAAAUCUCUCUCCCAAAGUUGGGCAGCCGCUCCCUUUCCAACUAGGGUUCUUCUUAAGGUUUCUUCGAGUUUAUGAGUAUAUCAAAGAAUUCUUCAAGGGGAAUGAACUGUAGAGAGUCAUAUGUGUUGGCAGCCAAGGUGCCACCACUCCCUUCUUCCAAAGAUUAACGUAAGAAUUUCAUGUUAUAAGCUUGGGUUCUCUUCCCCAUUUUCGUGUGAUGCUUAUGUUGAUUGUUGAUAAUUAUUCAAAUAGUUCAAGGGCAAACUUGACCUAUUCUUCCUUGUUUUAGACAACUGUUUGUAGGAAGCAUAUUUUUUAGCUAUUUGGCAAAUUGGAGAGCAAUUUUUAGCCAAAAGCAUAAUAGUGAAGGCCUUUUUGAGCUAAAAUAUAAUGGGGUCAGGUUGACCUAAUUUCGAAUAGUCUAUAGGUAUUUUGACUCGUCUGCCUAAAAGUUGUGUGUGCAUGUCUUCUGAUUUGGAAAUUGAGAUAUCAAAAGACUUUCACAUCGAGUGUGUAAGAGUCGUUGAUAGAAAUUUUCAAAUAGAACAGAACAAGCAAAACAAGAAGCUCAAAAUGUUAAAAAGAUCAAUAUGGGUUUGAUGAAUCACAAACAAGAAACAACAGUUCACUAUGACGGCUAGUCAUUCAAUACCAAAGAGAGACUGUUUCUGAAAGACCCGCAGCUCAAGUAACGCACACAUAGCAGUUUUAAAAAGAAAAGAAAAUACAAAAGCAAAGCGGACAUAGCAAAUAAUAGAUAACUCAUUGCAUAGCAUUCAGGAAAAAAGAACAGUAACAACAGCAAAAUAAUGUGAUAGUCUAAGCAAAGGAACAACAGGCAGUAACAGAAAUCAGCAGACUGGGUUAUAGCUUUAACAAGACAAAAUAGUAGAUUUCUUUUUAAUAAGAAAAUUGAAUCACACCACGUACACCACUAUAUCUGAUGUAGGAUGUAUAUCACAGUAUCUGCCUAUAUAAACCCUAAUAUCUUCAUCAAAUUUAAUCUAGAUCACUGGCAAUAUCAUAAGAGGCGACCAUUAUGGAUUGUGAAUGUAACUUCUACCGGCAUGUGGUAGCAUAAAUCCAUUAGUCCAUAGUUCUCACAAUUAAGACUAGUCACUCACUGUUAUGCUUUGAUAACAGAGUUGCACCUUGGUUCCAUUCCUAGUUUAGAGAAUUAUUGGAAUUCAUUUUUGCCCAUCCAACAGGAUCCAUCCUUACCGAAAGUUUAAUCAGAAAACUUUUUUCUUGAACUUGGCAAGUUUAAUCAGAAAACUUACUGAAUUCUUUUUCGCUCGUCUAAGAGGAUUUCAUUGUUAUAACAAAACUAUGUUUUUGCUCAUCUGAUAGAAUUUCCUUUGAAAGUUUCAAGUCCAUGUUGUCAAUAGGGAAUAUAAAAAGCCUUUACAAGUUAAAACUUUGGACAGGUAUCACAUCCUACUUAUAACAGAGCAUAAUUUUAGUUUUAAGAAGAUGUCUAACAAUGAUCUUUACCUGCUUACACAUGUAUUGCGUUAUGCCACUAAAGCAAGUUGAGAAAGCAAAGAGAAUUUCUCACUUACUCGAUCUGCCGCUGCUUGGAGAGUGAUAUGAUCUCCCCAUUCCCCCAACCUGGCUUGAACAAGAAAUACCUAGUUAAUGGUCAUGUCAGGUCUUCUUCAUGUAAGUCUAUAGAUCGAAACCAGAUUUCACCUCUUCAUCUUCUUCAGGUAGCUUUUGUAUUUCAUGGGAACAUAACUUUCAUAAAACUUUCUGAAAUGCUUAAGCUGAAACAAGUUAGAAACCAGAAUAAGAACAACAACGACAUACCCAGUGUAAUCCCACAAGUGGGUUCUGGGGAAGGUGGUAUGUAUGAGACCUUACCCUACCUUGUGAAGGUAGAGAGGCAGAAACCAGGAUAAGCACAUAUAAAUUAUAUAGAUAUAGCGCUUAAAUGUGAUUUGGAAUCACAAAUGAUCAUAUCGAUGAGGCACCAUUUCAAGCCAUUAGGUCAGCCUCAUAAACGUCCUAAAAAAUAUACUGAAUUAUAAUGAAAAAAAAAGGUUUUUCAGUAUCAACUUUGUGAAUAAGUAGCCAUCCUUCGAAAGAGGAACGCAAGGAAAACUCAAAGAGAAAAGAAAACCCCAUACUAACCAUGAAAUACUGUCAAAAAUAAUUUUUUUAAAAAGAAAAAAAAACAGAAAUAUUGUCAAAUAUGAUUGCUCUAACACUAAUUGACUUAACAACUUGUAAGUCACUGGACAUUAUCCAAUCCAAUGCACAAUAGUUUGAUCUAAUAGUAGCACAGAUUUUCAUGUAUAAAAUAAAAUAUUCAUGUGUUAUACUCUAAAGGAUGAAAAGUUGAUUGUUAAACUAGAAAGAAUGUCGAAACCAAACAGGUAAGUGCACAGCAGUAAGACAACAAUAACAAAGUAGUAGCUAAAUCUGGAUUUAAUAGGGUUGACAUUGUUCCUAUUCCCAGAUUUUACUUUGGCAUCGUUCCUAUUCCCAAAUUUUACUUUGGCAAAGGUUGAUAUCCUAUCUUUUGGGAUCGAAAUGAUCUAUAAGUUUAAGCUUAGAAGAAUACCUAGUACCUUUAUUUAUGUAUUUUCAAUAUUUAUUUAUAAGAACAAGGGGGACAUUCAGAGUUGCAACAACUAUAGGGGUAUCAAGUUGUUGAGUCAGACUAUGAAGGUUUGGGAAAGGGCGGUAGAGUUGAGGUUGAGGAGGAUCGUGACUAUUUCUGAGAAUCAGUUCGGUUCCAUGCCAGGUCGCUCGACUACUGAGUCAUCACCUCAUGAGGAGAUUAGUAGGAGCAGUUUAGGGAGAGGAAGAAGGACUUGCACAUGGUGUUCAUUAAUCUUGAGAAUGUAUGACAAAGGAGAUUCUGUGGAGGUGCUUGGAGACUAGAGGGGUGCCUGUGGCGUACACUAGGUCGAUUCAGGACAUGCACGUCGGCGUGAAAACUCGUGUGCGGAUGGUUGGAAGAGCUUAGGAGCAUUUUUCUGUUUUGAAUAGGUUGCACAAGGGAUCAACUCUUAGACCGUUUUUGUUUGCCUAGGCGAUGGAUGUUUAGACGUGGCAUAUUCAAGGAGAGGUGCUUUGGUGUAUGCUAUUUGUUGAUGAUGUUGCAUUAAUUGACAAGACUCGGGGAGGAGUUAAUGAUAAGUUAGAGAUUUGGAGACAGACCCUUGAGUCUAAAGAAAUUAGGUUCAGCGGGACUGAGAUGGAGUACUUGGAAUGUAAGUUUAGUGAUUUGUCGCAUGAAGCUGGAUUCACAGGCCAUUCAGAAGAGGUAGAGUUUCAAGUAUCUUGGGUUUAUGAUUCAAGAAAAUGGUGAGACUGACGAGGAUGUCACGCACCGUAUUGGUGCAGGGUGGUUGAAAUGGAGGCUCACUUAAGGAGUCUGUCUUAUGUGAUAAGAAGAUGUCUCCUAAGCUUAAAGGUAAGUUCUACAAAGUGGCAGUCCGACCGGUUACAUUGUAUGGAGCGGAGGGUUGGCUAGUUAAGCACUCCCACAUCCAAAAGUUAAAGGUGGCGGAGGAUGUUGCGAUGGAUGUGUGGACUUAUCAGGAGGGAUAGGGUUAAAAUUGAGAAUGUUCGGGAGAAGGUAGGAGUGGCUUUCGUGGAGGACAAGAUGCGGGAAGUAAGGUUGCGAUAGUUCGCACAUGUGAUGAGAAGGGGCACGGAUGUUCCAGUAUGGAGGUGUGAGAGGCUGGUUAUGGAUGGUUUUAGGCGGGGUAGAGGUAGGCCGAAGAAAUAUUGGAGAGAGGUGAUUAGGCAUGACAUGGAGCAGUUACAGCUUACGGAGGGCAUGACCCUUGAUAUGAAGGAGUGAAGGACACGGAGGGUAGAGGGUUAAAAGGUGGGAACANNNNNNNNNNNAAAGAGUGCUUUGUUUGUAUCAUGUACCUAUAUUUUCUUGUAGUCUCUUGUUCGUGGUGUUUUGGUGAUGCCUAUGAUUUUUGUAUAGCUAGUUUAUAGUAUAUAGGAAGGUAUGGAGGACGCGGAUUAGGGUAGAGGGCUAGGGUGUGGGAGUGUGUCGGUAAAUAGAAGGAAGCGUUCUUUUGUGUCUGCAGUUUUUAUUCGUGGUGUUGUGUGAUGUCUAUGAUUUCGGUUAGAUAGUUUUUAUUUUUAUCUUGUGGUUGUAGUAUUAUCUUGCUGCUAGCGGUGUUAGUUUAUUUUGCACUUAGCUUUUGUGUUUGUUAUACUGUUAUCGGUUCUAAGCCGGGGGUCUAUCGGAAACAGCCUCUCUACUUCACCUGAGGUAGUGGUAUGGUCUGCGUACGCUCUACCUUCCCCAGAACCCACUAUGUGGGAAUAAACUGGGUAUGUUGUUGUUGUUGUUGUAGUUUAUAGUAUUACCUUGUGGGUGUCUUGUUUCCUUUAUUGUCUAGCGGUGUGAUAUCCUUUUUUGUCGUUUGCUUUUAAGUUUACUGUUUUCGAUACUGUUACCUGUCCUAAGCCGGGGAUCUAUCGGAAACAGUCUUUACUUCAAAUGAGGUAGUGGUAUGGAAUGCGUACACUUUACCCCUCCUAGACCCAGUUUGUGGGAAUAAACUGGGUAUGUCGUUGUUGUUGUUGUUGUUCCGAUGUUAAACAAAAUUAUGUUUUCUUAGAAGCUCUUGUGUGCAUGAAACCGAGUCGUAGGGGUUGUAUUUUGUAACUUCCUUCACUUGAGGAUAUGAUUCUUAUGGUUUAAACUUAUACUUGUUUUAUUUAUGCAUUUAAUUACUUUAUCUUCAAAGUUUGUUUGGUUGGUGGUUUGGCUUACCUACCAAGGGGAGAGUGUAGGUGUCAUUCAAGACCCUUGUGAAUUUUGGGUCAUGAUAAAACACUUUUAAAUUGCUACAAGUUGAUACAAUCGCUAUGUUUUGUUAACCUCGGACAUUUUGACAUGGAAUUGAACAAGGAAAGAUUUUAUUAAUUUCUACUAAACCAAGUCCAUGAACACCAACAAUGACAAUGUUAUUACCUGUUAUUUCAUCUCUUCCUUGGGUACAGCUCAACCUUUCUUUUUAUUUGGGUACUGCUAUCAAACACAAGAUUCGUAAAGAAUCUUGAAAAUCUCAACACUUCCUCAUUCGAGUAAAGCUUUGAGUUUGCAGAUAAAUCACAAAAAUAUGACGACUGAAAUAUGAUUAAUAAUCAGAAACUGCACCCUGGUGAAACUGCCAUUGUCCGAAUUUCAGCCGCCCUUAUGCUUGUGGUAGAUAAUUGUGAUAAAAAUAGUCUGUGGUGUUUAAUUCAAACUUGAGAUUACAAAGAGCAAAAAAGCUACAACAUUAUUGCGCUGCGAAUUAUACUUCAGGUACAUAACCCUCAAAGCAGCAAUUGUAUCUGUUUUGAUGGUUAAAACUAAUAAUCUUACAAAAAUCACAUGAAGAGAAUGUAAGCUGGAAUAUGUGAUGAUCCUAGAGAAAAAUGAUCCUUGAACAAAAUGAUAGUAUCUUUGGUAACAUCUUAGUUUACAACAGAUAUGAAAAGAAAAUUUAAUACACCCGUACCUGUUUGACAACCUCCUUUCUCACAUGCUUAUGAUACUCCGGAUUAUGAUACAACUGAUCUGCAAGGGCUCGAAACUGUCCAAUAAGUCGAAGGAAAUAGUCACAAAUAGCACACGUCUGCCAAGUGCAGCAAUGGCUUGUAGACUAGUUAAAGUAGACUAACCUGGCAAUUCCCAUCUCCUUGAAUUUGAAAUUCAGCAAGUCCAUAUGCUGCCAACCUGAAUGAUAGAUAACAUUAACUAGAUGCAUUAACAUGAAACAUAUUCCUUACUUACAGUACCAGAAUAGUAUAGAGAUAAAAAGUAGUAACAUUUUUACUCUUUUAACAAUUUAUGGCUUUCUUCCAUAAAUUAUGAUGAAUCGCGAAAUGCUAUGGUUCUUACAUAUAAUUUCUGAAUUUAUACAGAAGUAAUUCGCGAGAUCAUGCACCUCUCUUUCCUACUCACCUACAGAUCACAAAUAAGUACUUUUAACUAUCCCCAGGAGAACGAUAUAUUGAGAGUAACACCCUAAAAACUGUGGGGCUCUGACACAUUAAGUAAAGUGAUACACAACCUGCUAGACAGCCUCCCGUGGUCAAGUGUGGCAUCAUUAGGAUCGGGGAUCUGCCCAAUAACCCUUGGAGUGUGCUGAAAAUAUAGUAAAAUAAUAAGCGGAAUAUGAUGGCUGGUAGCAUAUGAUCAUUCCAAGAAUUAAAGCAUGCACUGAAUGACUGUUCACAUCAAUGCAACUGUGUACAGAAACUCAUUAUAACAUACUUUUUUUAUCACGAACCUGGGAUGAAAACUCAUUAUAACAUAAUUCUAUAGACGAUAAACGAAACUUUAAAUUUACAAAACAAGCAAAUUCUUGAUAACUUACAACAUUACAAUAUUGACAAAGAACUUCAUGUACAUAGAACAUUUUCUUAUAAGUCUCAAAAUUCUGUCUAGUACAAGUAAAUUUAUGAAAGUACCGGGAUGGAGUCCAAAUGAGAGAGUCUCUUCGCAAGCUUUCCCCCAUACCUCGAAGCAAUUUCUUCUUCUUCAGCCAAUAUUUUGGCAAUGGCAUGAUCAUCCUCAGUAACUUGUAAACUGCUAUUCAAGCUAGACGCAGAACUCGAACUUUCUCUUGAGUUGCCAUAAUGUUCAGUCAUAUUACGAUCAACAACAACUCCAGAUACAAGUAUAGACCUAUACAGCAAAAGAAAUAAUUCCUAUACAAAAUUAGUAGUGAUACAUAAAGAAAAAAAAAACGAAAAGGGAAAUCUAGUAUUCUUUGCGAGGUCCGUAUGAAGAAAAAGAAUUGCAGUGGGGAAUAACAAUGUAUCUAUUUUGGAUCUAAAAGCUCUUUAAUCAGAUAAAAGACCCAUAAUCAAGAACCAUAAAAGAACACAUAUGAAGUACCUUUUGGCCCAGUGAAGGAAAAGGGUAGAUUUGAUUACAAGAAAAAGAAAGCAAUGAUGGGAUUUGAUUUUGAUUCAAGAAAAGGGAGAGGGGUGGGCUAGUAGUGGAAGCGAAGAGUUAGUUGGGUAGGGGAGUCUCGUGAGUUGUGAGGUCGGAACACUUGGAUUACAAGUCAUUCACCAUUUUAGUAAGAAAAGAUGUUACCUCCUCAAACUAAAAUUUGUCUAUCAUUUUACUCUUCAAAAAGGAAGACGCUGCACCAUUCAUGAAUUUAAGCGGGUCUCCUUUGUGCCUGUUUGGAUGGUGGUUUCGGGAUGGUACGGGAAUAUGUUUGAUUGUUUUCUAAAAGUUAUUGUAUUUUAUGGUAUCUUUUUUAUGGUUACAUGAAAUACCUUGAACUGUCAUUUGGUGGCAUAACUGUCAAAAAAUGAGCUGGUCCAAUUCAAUUCAGUCCAAUACUUAUGGGCCAAAGAAUUUAAUAGGUCAGGACGGGUUGAUCCUUCAGGCCUUAAAAUGUAUGGCCCAAUCCAGUCCUAAUAGGAUCACGGCAAUUGAUUUUUUGUUAAAUUUUCUUUUUCAAUUUGAAAUAAUAAAUAUGAUAAUCCAUUCGCACUUCUAACAUAUUAUUAUAUAAAGUACAUAAUUCUACGAUGAUUUAUAAUAUUUUUAACACCAAUACAUUGUCAGACAUUUGAAUUCAUUGAUUACAUUAUCUUAAUUAACAUCAACAUUCAUCUAAAUUCAUAUGAAAAUUUAAUAAGUUGAACAAUAUCAAAAAGCUAUAUAUCAAAAAUUAAUAAUAUAUAAAAUUCACUUAAAAAUAUUAUCGCUAUGAAUUUGGAUAAUGUUGUGCAAUUAAUUUCGAAUAGCUAUAACAAGUAUUUGAACAUUUCAUGAUGGGUGCAAUUUUUAUAUUUAUGAUUAGAAAUUUUAAUAUUUGCCAUUUAAUUCUAUAUGAUUAAAAUAUUAUGUAAGAUACUAGGUAAAAUUCAUUGAGUAGUCACUAUUUAUAUUUUUAAUUCUUUUAAAUAGUAUUGAAAGAUUCUUCUGGAAUACUCCAGUUUUGAAGAUCAUUUUCAAUUGUAGCAAUCGGAGUAGCUUGAGAAGAUAAGUUAACGGUGUUUUUAACAUGACUAUUCAUCAUUUAAACAAACUGUCUAGAGGCUGAUAGAGCAAAUAUACAUGUUUAUACUAGCAAGCAUAUUAAAGAGUCUAGUAUAAAAUAACGAAAACUAAUUAUGUAGAUACAUCUAUGGCUUAUGGAAUCCUAACAAGUUUUAAUGGCAUUACUCUAUAGACAGCUAAGUGUUUUCUCAGUGACGGGACCACCAACAAGGUCUAACGUGCUUUUCCUAAGCUUUACGACCUACUUUCAGGCUAACCAACGUCUUCACCGGAGAUUAAUCGGUUCUGAAAAACACUUGAACAGUAAAUAGACACCCCAUACUUGGAUUAAAAUCCCAUUAUAAGACAAGACAUAAGAACAUAAUUAAAGUUUAAGGUAAAGCAUACUAGUUCAAAAUAAUAUAUUGUUAUAUAAACAUAAUUUUGCUCAUGCUCUAGACAGAUUAUAUGUUUAGCUGCUCAUGCUGAACAUAUAAUCUGCCAACAUGGCUCUGAUACCAGAAAACGGAUCGUAGGAAAACAGUUAAUUAUAGCGGAAUUUAAAUAGAGAAAUUAAAAGUAAUAGAGAUAAAACUUACAAGUUUAUUUAGAAAAACAUUACAAGGUUGAUUACAAGAGAUUGGGCAGAGAGAAUUUCUAGAGUUGGGAAAUUUCUGAAUGCCUUCUCUAAAGGGUUUACAAUGCCUUAUAUAGGCAAGAAGGAAUAUAUUAAAGUACAGAUGGACGGCUAUGAUUCUACCGACAAAGUUAAGUGUUUUGCUUUUUUAAAGCAAAAGUGAUUGACUUGCUUUUGGAAAAGCUGUGGUUUGCUUUUUUGAAAAGCUGGCCAGAUGCUUUCUUGAAGAAACAGCUGUGGUCCUGGAUUCCUGUUAGGAAUAGUAAGUUGCCCUUUCGAAGAGAUAAUUCCGGUUCUUUGAACCUCUAUCUCUCUGAAGGGUUAUUCUCCUAUUCAUAAUAGGGAUCUAGGUAGGCCAUAGCUAUUCCCUUAGGAUCUAGCAUAUCGCCGUUUUCGUCGCUGCUUCCAGUAGACGAGGCUUCUGCAAUGAGUUGUAGUAAUUCUUCUGUAUUAUCCAUGGUGUCUGGACCAUCUAGUUUGGCUAAUGCUUGUUUUAAUUUCUCCUUUAGUGCCUUCUUGGUAGUGGAAGAACUAGGAGAAGCUGUGGCAGAUUUUCCUUUGUCAGGAGUUUUAGAAGUGGUUAGCUUGGGAGUCCAACCCUUAAUUUUUAUUUCCUUUGAUAAGUAUUUAAUCCGGUGUUGCUCUUCCUUGGAGAAGUUCCAGGAUAUAAUAUAGGAUACUCGCUUCUUGAUGAAAAACUUGCACAUUUGAACAUGCUCUGGUAGUGUGGAGCAACCUUCUUUAAUCAGGAAGUCGGGAAGUCUGUUAAGAAAUUGUUGAGGAAGGAUUCCUUUAGUUCCUCCGGGUUGUCUCAGGUUUUACUGGUAUGCUCAAACACUGGUGGGACAAUUAUGUCUCUGAGGAUGAAAAGAACCAAACAAAUCCACCAUUCAUAAAACCAUCUGGGUAUGAUAAAGCCAUGAUAGAACUAUGUGAAAAAAUCAUUCUCAUUGGCAUUUUAACAAACAAGUUGAGGGAACAUAUGUUUCAAAACCACAACUAAGUAAUUUGGGGGAUUCCAAAGUACCCCUAAAGCCAUUUACCAUUACCAUGCAUUCCACAAUAUCAAAAUCAUAUUAAAAGCAUGAGAAACAUCAUUAAACCAUUAGAAACAUUAUUCAACCAUGAACAUCCAAAACUCCCAACCAUUAUUUCAAAACAUAAUAAUAUCAUGAAAAAUCAUACAUUAAAACACAUGCUCUUUGUACAAUAACAAUGAGGGAGGAGUAACAUGCCUUAUAUACCAAGGAAGAUGGAGAGAAACCAUCCUUGAAAACAUUAAUUGAUAUGUUGAAGAAACCCUAUCCUUUUGUUUGAGAGAGAUUUUAAGAGUAUUUGAUUGAGAAUAAUAGGUUAAUGAAGCCCCAAAAUGUGUUUUAUGUCAUGGUAUCAAAGGGAGUUACAAAGGAUAAAUGUCUAGAAUGCCCCAAAUUAAAACUGAAAAAUUAUCACAGGUAGGUACGAGUUGGCCCUCCAACUCGUCACUAUAACAUACGACCGGUACCAUUUAACCGUCACCAGCACAGAUGGUUGGACGCCCCACAUUGUCUACCAUACAAUUUCUUUUCCCUAGCUCGUGACCAUACUAUACGAGUGGUAUGGUCCAAUUGUACCCAUGACAAAAUCCAAAGGGAAUGACAUGGACAACAUACGACUUAACCUUACCACUUGUACCCUAUCCUCGUGGCUCUUAGUGAGCCACUCCUACUUAGAGCCAAGUCAAGUUACUAUGUUACUGAUUCGAUUAUAGGACCGACCCAAAUGAAUUGUCACCACCCCUAAUGACCCGUACCCACCAAAUCGUAACCUCAACAGAAACCUAACCCCCCUUCACUAGCCUCCUAACAACUAGGGUUCCCUAACUCGUACCCAUAUCAUACGACUUGUAUAGUGUGUCGUUACAAGGAUAGUGAUUCCAAAAUGUAGGAAAUUUUCAAGGGCCAAAACACAGGGUGUUUCUGUUUUCCCCUAAUUGGAUCAUUCAUCCUCGAAUGAUGGGCCAAGGAAGUGAUUAGUAUGAUUAGACCCCUAAAUGUCUCUACUCUUACCUUUAAGAUAGAAAACAGAGAUAACAAGGAAAUAAAAAUUUCCUUUAACAAAGUCAGAAAACAAAGAUGCUAAGAGAAACACAUACCUUAAGCAUGAUUUUCCGAAACGGAGAAUAGAAAUGGAUACUUGGACUUCAUGUCCUCUUCCGCUUCCUAUAUAGCUUCUUUCACCUUGUGGUUUCUCCAUAGAACCUUUAUCGAAGCUAUAUCCUUGGUCCACAAUCGACGAACUUGACGAUCCAAGAUCUCAACCCGGAUCUCCUUAUAAGACAGAGAAUCCAAAAUACCAAUAUCUUUGAUAGAAACUACUAGCGACGAAUCACCCAUACACUUCCUUAACAUAGAGACAUGGAAAACCAGGUGAAUGGAGCUCAAACUAAAAGGUAACUCUAACUUGUAUGCAACAUUACCAAUCUUUCUCCAAACCAAGUACGGACCAACAUAUCGAGGACUAAGCUUUCCCUUCUUCCCAAAUCACAUCACUCCCUUCAUGGAAAACACCUUCAAGAACACUCUAUCCCUAACCUCAAACUCUAACUUCCUACGUCAUACAUCCAUAUAGGACUUUUGGUGACUUGAAGCCUAUCCCGAAUUACCUUUACUUUCUCUAUAGCUUGAUAAACCAAAUCCAAGCCAAACAUCUCUGCCUCACCAACCUCGAACCACCCAAUGAGAGACCUACACCUCAUACCAUACAACCUCAAAUGAAGCCAUCCCAAUGUUAGAGUAGUUGCUAUUAUUGUAUGCAAACUUUAUAAGAGCCAAAUGCUCAACCCAAAUACCACUAUAGUCAAUCAUGCAAGCACGAAUCAUAUCCUCCAAUGCUGAAUAGUCCUUUCUGCUUGCCCAUCCGAUUGCGGGUGAAAAGUAGUACUAAGACUCAUCUUAGUCCCCAAACCUUUCUGAAACGAUCACCAAAAGUAAGAUGAAAACUACGUACCACGAUCAAAGAUGAUAGAAAUAGGUACUCCAUACUGCUUCACAGUCUCAUGAAGAUACAACCUUGCAUAGUCCUCAACCGAGAAAUUUGCCCUUACUGGCAAAAAGUGAGCAGACUUUGUUAUCCUAUCCAUAAUGACCUAAAUUGAGUCAAAUUGAUUUUGAGAUCGAGGAUGACUAGUAAUGAAAUCUAUAUUGAUCACCUCCUAUUUCCAAUCAGGCAACUCAAUUUCUUGAUACAACCCUCUGGGCCUCAGGUGCUCAACUUUUACUUUUGGGCACACCAUGCACUUGGCCACAAAACUAGCUACAUCCCUCUUCAUAUUGUUCCACUAAUAAAUUUCUUUAAGGUCACGAUACAUUUUCAUCGAACCAAGAUGAAUAGCAUAGCGUUCCUCUGCCAAAAUUCUCUUGUGUAAUCCAUCUAUGUCAGGAACACAUAACUUCCUUUGGUACUGCAAGGUACCAUCACCACUAAUCUCAAAAGCCACCACCCUCUUCCCACCUACAUCACACUUGAUCCUCAUUAAAAUAGGAUCCAACACUUGUUUCUCCUUUACCUCAGCAGCCAGGGAUGACUUCGCUACCUCCUAAAUGAAUAUUGCUACGAGAAAGACAAGAGAAGGCUUAAAAACUACUCAAAACAGUCCACAAAUCAACUAAAACCCGAGGACCCCUUUGAGAGCAACUUUCGGCCAACAAUAACAACACAAGGAUUACAAGAUACAAGGUGUAUCUUAACACCAAAACAAUAACAAUGACACAAGAUGAAAUAAGUCACAGAUUCAACACAAACAUAAGGGAAAUUGCAUAGAAAAUAAAGAUAGAUAGUGAGACCAAGAUUAUUACAAGAUUAAGAACCAAGUGUAUUUCAACACUAACCCCUAAUGAAUGUAACAAUCAAAACCACACUCUUAUGGUGACCACCAAGGGAAUGAACUCACCUCAAGAUCUACCGUUUUCAAGCAAAGAUUAAUAUUGGCUUUUCCAAGCCCUAUGCUAAGGAUGGAUUUUCCAAGUCCUACAACUAAGGGUGUUACACUCUCAAAAGAGAGAAAAUAUGUCUUUCAAUUCUUUAUCAUUCAAAAUCUGCAAAGAAAUGAGCUAAAAUGACCUAUUUAUAGUGUAUUAAAAAAGAAGACAAAAAGACCACUUUGCCCUUAAUGAUAGGUGCGGCCAUGGUGUGUAAAUACACCAUGUGUAAUAUUCAAAAUGCCCUUAAUUAAGGUCCAAAACCGUGAGUCCUCUAUCUUAAAUGCUCCAAGCAAUCUUCCACACGUGAGAUUGCUUUAAGUUAUGCUCAAAACGGGUCCUCCAUGCAUGUUCUUGUAUUCUCGAAGUGACCAAGUCUUGAGCCUCUAUAUGUUGGCCUCCAAAGAUGUCAUCAAAAGAUAAGAUGGCCAUUUGUCCCAUAUCAUCUUCCCCUUCUUAAAAAGGAUUCGACCUCGAAUCCAAACCUUGCAAAACCGAAGAGAGGACAAACAAAUACAAACUCCUCAUGACAUGAGGGAUAGGGUUAGCAUAACAAAUUAUCUCAAUAUGCCAAGGUUGCACAUAUUUACAAUAUAACCAAGAAUUCUUUAAAAGAAAUAUUAAAAACUCAAUAAAAAAUGUACAAAAGAUUUGUUAUAGGAUACAUCAAAAGUGACACUUUGCUUGUCAUGUAGACCAAGCAACAAGUUUUGUGCACCAACAUCACCAUUUCUUAAUUUGGCACCGGGGUCAAAUGGAAAAAGUGGCCAUAGAUACGGGUCUCGACAACACUUCUCUUUCCCGUGGUCUACACCCAAACUAAAUGACAUACUCUCUAUAAUAACAUAUAUAUCAUCCAAAGCAAAUAGAGAGAGAGAAAGGUAUCACUCAAAUCGACUUCUACUAAGGUGCUCUCAUGUGUGUACUCACUACUAGUUUCCCAAUAAUCACCAUAAGUACUCUAAAUAAUGAAAUCACACAAAGUAGAAGAAGAAGUAGCUUCCACAACUACACAUUCCUUACCCUUAAGAGUACUCUCAUCUUCCAAGAAGAGAUUUCCCUCUUUAGGAGGAAUAUUGUCACACCAUAGUGGGUUAGCAUAUAGGCUAUAGCUUCCAAGGCAAGCUAUACUAUCAUUUUUACCACUAGGUUCAUUAGAAGUGUUUAAAUCAUCUUCAAACAAGACAUUAUACCUAAAAAGAGUGUGAUCUAGCUCACAGACAUAUUUGGAACAAGCAAGUUCCUCACUCUCUAAAUGAUCAAUAUCAAGUUUCAAGGAUGUUUCAAACAUAAUAUUACCCCAAGAAGAGCUCCCGGGUUCAUUCUCACUUUGUUGACCAACAUUUUUAAAUACUUCACUCAGUUGAGUCCUAUUAAGCACACACAUACAUACUCAAGUGGUGGACAGUUUUCACAAACAAGUUGAUCAACACCUAUUACACAAGACGAUGUACUUCCAUUCAACAUAUAGGCUUCAACACUAGGUGGACAUAAAUUAAUCUCACAAGAGGAGUCUAUUUUGUCAUCAAUAGAAUCAACUAGUGUAUCCACACUCACAAUAUGUACAUCAUCAACAAGAGGUAAGGAAUCAUUAGACUCAUAAAUAAGUAAGCUACUACUCACACUCAAUGGAUUACUAGCCAUUCAAUUAUCAUUCAUAUGCAUUAAAGUGUAAGAGUUAGCUAUUUUACCUUGAAGAUCUUGAGUAGACUCUUUCUUUCUGUGAGGUGAAGGUCCUCCAUAAGCUUGGGCAACAGCUUCUUUUUUACAUUGGCCGCCUUUGCUUGCCAUGUUUGUACCUACAUAAAUGUCCAUAGAAAUAGAAGGACAUCCAAAGUUAGCAUGGUUUGGUGGUAAUCCCUUCACUUCGCUAAACACAACCUCUCCUUUUUCCGCUCUCAGAUUACCACCUUUCACUCCCUUACUCCUCUCAAUCUUUUGUCUCUCAUAAUAAUUCGAAUUGGAGUAGGUAGGAACUUCUUUUUGUGGCCCGGGCAGAAUGUACGUCUUGAGCCAACUUCUCCAUCGGUCUCUUAUAAUAUUAGGCCAAUUUUGCAUAUUUGGAACUUUAUGUUGUGCAAACCAAUCGGUGCCCAAGCUCACAUAACCAUAGGUUAUGGGAAAAAUAUCACACCAUACCUCCUCAUGGUAAUUAAAUUGGAAGAAGAUAUCUUUUACCCUCUCGAUAACCUUAAACCUGUCAAAGAAGUAUGGAACAAGUAAAGGCUCGUAAAAUAACCCCAAGUAAUCAACCAUGGAUGGAACAAUGUAGUUUCUAUAGUACCUAUUAUUUAACACAACGAGGCAGCCCGGUAUCCCAUAAAUGGUCACCUUUCGGGAGUGUACACUCCUUCUUGGAUUAACAUUGUAAACACAUGAGUACCCCUCGGUUUUAGAGAUGCAUACCCUCUUCUUCUCAUUGGACAGCCUACACUAUAGCUAAUAUAACCAUUCACACUAUAUUGACCUUGAUAAGAAGUACUACAAAGUGGAUAAUAUGAAUCUUCACACUCCUCACGUGUACUUUCAUCAUAACUCUCAUAAGGUUUGCGAAUGAAAGGGUUAUACGAAACACUAAAUCUAGGUUCGGAGUGGGGAGUGCAAGACUCCUCACAUGUCCCAACUUUAUCAUAAGAUCCAUCACAAGGUCCUAUAUCAUCUCCAAAGUCACCAUAAGCACUAGGCACUUCAUUCACCUCAUUUUCUCCCUCAAAAUAGCAACUUUCAAAUCUGCCUAUAUUUUGAUCAUGGCUAUUUUCAUAGCUUCCGCAAUCUCCCUCAACUUCGUAGCCAUAAAAUCCCUCACUACAAUUAUAGUCUCCCAUAUUGUAGUCAUAAUAAUCCCUGGCUAUCGAAGUCAUGUUCCCCUUAUAUCACCCUUUAAACCUACAAAAUGAACAAACAAGAUUAGUAGUAAAGCUCCUCACCAACACUCGUAUUCACUCACUUAUGUGAUCCCCACAAUUUGGAGCAGCGCUAUUGAAAGUUGCUUGUAUUUCGAUAGUCAAUAGGAUGUCAAUUCUACUUAGUGGCCGGAAUAGAUUCUUAUUUGAUUGACUCAAGACACAAGACAAAAAAUUCUACUUACGAACUUGAAACAAAAAGUUACGACGAAUUAAAAAUGAGAAAAGCACACAAAUAAUGAAAACACGACAAAAACGAAUUCAAAAACUAAUUCACAAUCUAGUAGGUGAUUACUAGUUUCUAAUUAGUACUAGAAUCAAGAAAUGAAACUAACGAAACAAAGAAAAGAAACUUUAAAAUCUGAAAUUUGAGCUUCAAGGUUUUUUUGGAACAUUGAUGAUGUGGCACUUAGAUGACGUAGCAGUUUGGUGAUGUGGCAAUUUGGUGACAUGACAGUUUGCAAUUUGGAUUGGUCAAAUUUUUAAUUUGGGAGAGCGAAAAAUCAGCNNNNNNNNNNNNNNNNNNNNNNNNNNNNNNNNNNNNCUUUUUUCAAAAUUCAAAAGACUUUGACUUUCCUUGCACCUUUUUGGCAAGACACCUUUUUGAAAGCCUUUGUCUCCUUUCCUCUUUUGUUUGUCUUGGUAUGUGCCCUUACUCUCUUUUGGUAAGGAGUCUUUUUGAAAGUCCUAUUGUCCCCUUUCAUUUUUUGUAUGUUCUCUGGGAUAUGUUUCAAGACUAACAAAAGACUACACUCUUUUCUCCACUCUUUAAGAUCAAAUCACACCUAUUGAAUGUUUUUGUUCAACAAUAAAUGAUAAACAUGAAGAACAACAAGAACACUCAAAAGAUUGAAACUAAACCAAAUGAACUCCAAAUUGAAUGAUUUUGGAUUCCUUUUGCUCACGUUAAACUCCAUAACACAACCAUUCAUUUUUCAAGCCACAAUUUCAACAACAAGCCUUCCAAUUUCGAGCUUCACCUUACUAGUUUCUUUAACCUUAAACUCAACAAUGGUGAACAACUCAAAACCAUCCGGAUUAAGCUCAAAUCCAAGAUCUAGGCUCACUUAGUGUUAGGAACAAGAACCUAACACUAGAAACAACAAAACAUACUAAAAUCUCCAAAAUCUAAGUCUCAAAUUUCAGCUCAAACACAAAAAGGGGACAAAUUUCUUUUUUUUGAGAUUUUUGUUUUUUCAACACUUUUUUUUUAAAAAAAAAAUUCAACUAACAAGCCCAAUAUUGAUUUUGUUGGAACAAAAUCAAUCCUUGCUCUGAUACCAAAUGAUACGGGAAAGACAAGAGAAGGCUCAAAAACUACUCAAAACAGUCCACAAAUCAACUAAAACUCGAGGACCCCUUUGAGAGCAACUUUCGGACAACAAUAACAACACAAGGAUUACAACAUACAAGGUGUAUUUUAACACCAAAACAACAAUAAUGACACAAGAUGAAACAAGUCACGGAUUCAACAUAAACACAAGAGAAAUUGCAUAGAAAAUAAAGAUAUAUAGUGAGACCAAGAUUAUUACAAGAUUAAGAACCAAGUGUAUUUCAACAUAAAACCUUAUUGAAUUUAACAAUCAAAACCACACUCUUACGGUGACCACCAAGGGAAUGAACUCACCUCAAGAUCUACCAUUUCCAAGCAAAGAUCAAUAUUGGCUUUUCCAAGCCCUAUGCUAAGGAUGGAUUUUUCAAGCCCUACAACUAAGGGUAUUACACUCUCAAAAGAGAGAAAAUAUGUCUUUCAAUUCUUCAUCAUUCAAAAUCUGUAAAGAAAUGAGCUAAAAUAACCUAUUUAUAGUGUAUUACAAAAGAAGAUAGAAAGACCACUUUGCCCUUAAUGAUAGGUGCGGCCAUGGUGUGUAAAUACACCAUGUGUAAUAUUCAAAAUGCUCUUAAUUAAGGUCCAAAACCGUGAGUCCUUAAUCUUAAAUGCUCCAAGCAAUCUUCCACACGCGAUAUUGCUUUAAGUUAUGCUCAAAACGGGUCCUCCAUGCAUGUUCUUGUAUUUUUGAGGUGACCAAGUCUUGAGCCUCUAUAUGUUGGCCUCCAAAGAUGUCAUCAAAAGAUAAGAUGGCCAUUUGUUCCGUAUCAAAUAUAUCACCAUCCUAAGAGUCCAAGAGAUAAAUCCUAAGGUUAGCCAAAAGGUGAACAUCUUUCACCAACUCUCGCGUUCCUUCAUCCACAUGAGAUAGACUUCCCAUGGGUAACCUGCUAAGAGCAUCAGCGACCACAUUUGCUUUACCUGGAUGGUAGUAAAGACUUAUGUCAUAAUCCUUAAUAGAUCAAGCCAUCUUCUUUGUCUGAGGUUUAGCUCUUUCUGAGUAAACACAUAUUGCAGGCUCUUAUUAUCAGAAAAGAUAUCCACAUGCACGCCAUAUAAAUAGUGACACCAGAUAUUUAAUAUGAAUACCACAACUAAUAAUUCUAAGUCAUGGGUCGUAUAAUUCUUCUCAUGCACCUUCAACUGUCUAGAGAAAUAAGCUAUCACCUUGCCAUGCUGCAUCAAGAUGCACCCAAGCCCUACACGGGAUGCAUCACAAUAGACCACAAAGCCACCAGUUCCUUCAGGCAAAGUCAAGACUAGUGCCGAGGUCGGCUUAUCCUUCAUCUUCUCAAAACUAUCCUCACAAGCGUCUACCAUAAGAACUUUACCUUCUUCUAAGUUAACUUAGUCAAUGGGGCAACUAUAGAAUAAAAACUUUUCACAAACCACCUAUAAUAAUCAGCUAAACCCAAGAAGCUUCGAAUAUCAGUUGGAGUCGUGGGUCUAGGCCACUUCUUAACCAUAAUAACUCUCUGUGAAUCCACUAUGAUUCCCUCACUAGAAAUGACAUGACCCAGAAAAGUAUUAAUGUUCAACCAGAACUCACAUUUAAAAAAUAUGGCAUAUGACUGCUGCUCUUUAAGGGCUUAUAAUACAAUAUGGAGAUGAUUGACAUGAUCCCCCCACUCUUUGCAUACACCAAAAUAUCGUCCAUGAAUAUAAUGACAAAGAAUUCCUGAAACUGUCGGAAGACUUUAUUCAUCAAAUCCAUGAAUGCCGCUGGGGCAUUAGUCAAACCAAAAGACAUAACUAAAAACUCAAAAUGCCUGUAUCGAGUACGGUAGGCAGUUUUUGGGAUAUCCACUUCCUUAAUCUUUAGCUGAUGAUACCCAGAUCGAACAUCAAUCUUAGAAAAAAACUUAACACCCUAAAGUUUAUCAAAGAAAUCAUCUAUCCUUGGAAGAGGGUACUUAUUCUUUACCGUUACCUUAUUCAAUUAUCGGUAAUCACUACACAUCCGAAGGGAACUAUCCUUCUUAUGCAUGAAUAAAACUAGUGCUCCCAAUAGAGACAUACUAGGACGGAUGAAACCCUUACCUAAAAGAUCUUUUAGUUGCUCCUUAUGAUACUUCAACUCAGUUGGAGUCAUUCUAUAUGGAGGAUAGAGAUCGAAUGAGUGUCUGAAACAACAUCAAUCCCAAUUUUAAUCUCCCUAUCGAGAGGAACACUAGGGAGGUCAUCAUGAAAGACCUCAGGAAAUUCAUUCACUAUUAGGACAGAAUGCAAAGAAGGAUCCUCAAGUUAGAAUCUUUAACCAGGACCAGAUGGUGGAGACACCCUAGGAGAUUUAUCUCCUAGCUCUAAGAUACGAAAUGAACUUCCUCUUAGGAGCUAGGGAACCACCGUCCCAUUUAUAACCAGUUCCUUAGGGAACUUAAAAACAACCUUACGGGUUCGACAGUCUAGGGAAGCAUAGCAGGAGUGCAACCAGUCCAUCCCUAAUAUGACAUCAAAAUCAAUUAUAUCUAAUUUAAAUAGAUCCACCAAGGUUUCCCAACUACCCAUAGACACUACAUAGCCUCUAUAGACUCUUCUAGUCACCACAGAGUCACCCACUGAGGUAGAAAUUAAGAAAGGAUCUGAAAUAUAUUAGGGAUCAAAACCAAAAUGCACAGCCAUAAAUGGUGUCACUUAAGAGAGAAUGGACCCCAGAUCAAGUAAACAAUACACAUUAUAGGAAAAAAGUUUCAACAUGCCAGUAAUGACAUCAAGUGAUGCCUUAGACUCCUGGCAGGUAGUGAAAACAUAGAGUUGAUUUUGAUCAGUGUCAGAGCCAGAUGGGGCACCUUAGUGCCGGAGCUGAAGAGAAGGCAACAGGAACCUUGUUUUCCCUAGUGGCAACUUUUCCAACAGGAUAACUUUUAACCAUAUGCUCUGGAUGACCAUAGUUGAAGCACUUGUUCUUUACUUCAUUGUAGUAACCUAGAUGCAAUCGACCACAAAAUCUACAGGGAGGAUAUGAUAGAGCUGAUUAGGCCUCAUUGAGAUUGGACACCCUAUGCCUUAUAAUUAAUCCCACUAUGAAAAUGCCUCUCACCAGAUAACUUUGGGUAGGGAUAACUAGCCGUCGAGUAAGACCCAGAGUGCCAUUUCUUUUUGAACCACUUUCCACCAUCUCUGCCACUCUGCUAUUGGCCACCGUGCUGCUAAAAAAAUCUAAACUUCUUGCUCUGCCUAUCCCCUAUUUUGGUAUACUUUUUUUUCUCUUCUUCAACCUUCUGUAUAUACACAACCAACUUGGAAAUAUCCAUGUCUUUGUUCAAUAAGGCAACCUUACUCUCCAAAAUUAAGUCUCAAGAUAAUCUAAAAACAAACUUUCUCAUUUUAGACCUCUUGCUAGAGACCAACUCCGAAGCAUACUGAGAUAACUAGUGAAACUUCAAGACAUCCUUCUUGCCUGACAUCUUGCCUUACUUUAAGUUAACAAACUCUUCUAUCUUUGUUUCUCUCGACUUUUGAGGAAAGAAGUAGUUCAGAAAAGCACUAGAGAAAUCAUCCCACAGGGAUGACUCAGCAUCGUCACCCCUUGACUGCUCCUAUUCCUUACACCAUUAGUAGUUUACUUCUUUUAGUUGAUAGAUAAUAAAUUCUGCACCCUCCACAUUAGUAGUAUGUAUAAUAUAGAAGAUCUUUUCUAUCUUAUCAAUAAAGCCUUAAGGAUUCUCCUCAACUUUAACACCUGUAAAUACAAGAGGGCUCAACCUCAUAAACUGGCCAACCUUUGUGCCUAAGAAGAUAGAGUAAUAGAAGAACUGCGCUCAGUCUGAGAAGCUACCAACAUAGCUAACAUAUGAAUAGACUGACGAAACUCAGCGUUCAUCUCCUAGGCCUGAGGGGCUCGAGGAGAACUAAAGGGAAAUAAUGGAACUCCAAGAUAACAAUCAAGAACUAGACCCCUAGAUCAGGUCUGGACCCCAUAAGUAGGACAAAUCCAAUAAACAUUGCCCUCGGGUGGGAUGAAGGAGUUUCUUUGAACUUCAGAUCAUCGAGGAGGCAUGAUUUGAAAAGCGAACAAACAAGAAUUAGAGAAGAUUUUAGGACCUUAGACUCUACAGCUUGAAAACAGAACACAAAAAUGAGAAACAUUCCUAAAUGCCUCGUAGCCUCUCCAUUAUGAGUGUGGCAUGCUACACACCCUUAAAAGAGACUCUACUCAACACGAAUUUGUCAAACACCUAACUGACAAUAAACUUAGGGCUCUGAUACCAAUUUGACAUGACUCAAACCAUGGCAUAGUCGUGUCGGGCAUCUCAAGUCCAACUAGGAUCGGAGACCACCUUCAUUACCCAAUCAUAACUGCCCUACACCCUAUGUCGGAUAAAUUUCAAACAUAUAAUAAGAUAAGAAAUUUAAUAAUUUUAAGGAUAAUAUACAUAGUUUAAAACCAUAAUCCAAUAACCUUAAUCAAGUAUCCAACCGGUGUCCACCCCAAUGCCAAAACUAAUACCAAGGCUGAAACCAAUACCAACACCGCCCAUGCCCAUAUUUGUUUGACAAAUCCUCUAACUAGAAUCAAGUAACAUCCAGUCGGGGCAUGCCCUCGACCUUAGCCAAAACUUAACCAAAGUAAUAACAAAAAUAAAAGUGAAAUGGAGCUUUCUAGAGUAUGAAAGCUCACCACUUUAGUCUGACUCAAAGUUGUCCCCGAAUCUAAGUCACUUAGCGAGAGAAAUGGUAGUAUGACCAGUUCCUACAUUGCAUGGGGAUAUCAUGCCCGAAGACUGUUAGUGGGGUAAAUGUAAUGUCAUUAUUCAAAACCAAAGCAAAUAACCAUAUGCAAUCACACAUAUACAUAUAUAUCAUGCUGGGAUUGGGGAUCGGGUUUAACAUGUAUUUAAAACCUUAACCUGUUGAGUAGCUUUAUCGUCCUAAAACCAACCAUGGCUAUAUGGGUUCAGCUACCUCUACUGAAGGUCCCUAGUGUGUGUUGCCCCCACGACCGAAGAAAAAAACUUGAGAUGACUAGUACAUCUUCUAAAAUAUAGAGUAUGACAUUAUGCACACGGUCACUAAGUAAUACAGGGGUAGAUACGAGACAAUAAAAUAGCCAAGAACACAAGAAAAAACCGAAAGCAAGACAAAAAUAAGCUACGACAAAAAUAACACAAAUUGAGAAUAAGAAACAAGAUACAAAUAUACACAAAAUGCAUUAAGAUAAAGGGUUGUUGGUUUGACAUAAAGAGAUUACAAAACCCAAGAACCAAGACAUGUCUCAAAUGGAAAGACCCCUAAAUCCCGUAAUAACUAACAACAAACUCUUACGUGUCCCAAGAAGGAAUUCUCUCACCUCAUAAACCUAUAUUUCUAAGCUAAGAUUUCAACACAUAUAAGUACCAUACUUGUCUAGCCUUGUUUCGAUUUCGGUCUACUCUCACUAGAGAGGAUUUGUGAUACAAUAUUUCUUUUACAUUUCCAUAUUCAACAAAAACUAAUGAAAUAAACCUAACAAGGGUCUUCUUAUAGUCUAUUACAAAUAAAGAUAAAAUAGCCAUAUUUCCCUUAAUGAGAGGGGUGGACAUGGUGUGUUAAGAUACCAUGUUCAAUCUCUUAAAUACCCAUAUUGAAGGGGAGAUCAUGGUGUGUUUGAACUUAAUGAAUGGAUCCUCUUCAAUGCUCUCAAAAUUAUGAGUGGAUCAUACUUCAACACUUGUAUUUUUGGGUUGGCAUCAAGGUAAGCAUCCAAACAACCUUCCACACAUGGGAUUACUCUAUUGUGGGCUCAAAAUGGGUCCCCCAUGUGUGUCCUCGUGCCCUCAAUAUGACCAGAAUUGGAUUCUUUAUGUGUUUGCCUUGAAUGAUGUCUUCAAAAGCUAUGAAGACCAUUUGGCUCGUAUCAUUCUCCCCUUCUUAAAAAGGAUUCGACCUCAAAUCCAUACCUUGUAAAAUCAAAUAAAGGACAAACAAGCAUAACGUACUUAUGGCAUGAGGGUUAGGUUAGUGCAAAAAAUAACAUCAUCAUGCCACGAUGGUGUACACUUGAAAUAUAACCAUGAAGCCUUUGCUUUUAACAUGAAAAGCUUAGUGAAAAUGUCACAGAAAAGUGGCUAUGAUAAUUACCAAGAGAUAAUGAAACUACAAAAGUCAUAAUGGCAUCACUAGAUACAAAAGGUAAGAUUACCUUUACCUUAGGAGCCAUAAGACAUAAUUGCUUCAUCACCUCUUUAAAAGACCACAUCAAGAGUGGUGCCUUAAUUAAGGUUAAAUUCCAUGACAAAACAUAUAGCACAGUCACUCAAACAAGUAGAUGAAGCAACAAAUAUCCUACCUCCAGAUAAGUUCAUUCUAUAACUAUCAUGGAUGUCAUCAUAUGCAAAGAGGUAGUAUAGGAAAGAAUCAAGUACAAAGGUAUUAUUCAAGGUGCUAUCAUCUACAAGAACACAAUUUGGCCCAAAAGAUAUAGCACAUAAAGCACGCAAGGAUGGAAUUAGGACACUUAAGCACAUAUGGCUUCUUCUUUUCAUAGAACUUCCCGAGGGAAGGAACUUCAUCAAUGGAGUCAUACAAUUAGGGAAAAUUUAGAACCUACUAUGCAAUAAACCAUUCCAAGAUAAGUAGUUUUCCUAAAAACUUUGUUUCCCUCUACGAAUGAUUUUAAGAAUGCUCCCAAGAGUCACACAAGAUACUUCAACUUGUCCAACCUUAUGAAGGUGACAAGAAGUUGUGAACAUCCUUGGACUCUUCUACAAACAAGGAUUCAAUUUAGCAUUCAUAAGUUGUGGUCCAUGUAGAUGCAAGUAUAUGAAUAAUACCCUAAAAGAGAAUGAUACUUUUGCUCUUGAGUUUUUAAGAAUGACACUUUACUAGUCAUGUAGACCAAGCAACAAGUUGGGUGUGCCAACAUCACCAUUUCCAUAUUUGGCAUCAGGAUCAAAUAGAAUGAGUAGCCAUAGACACGGGUCUAGACAAUACUCUCUUGACCUGUAGGCCUUACCUAAACUACAAGAUAUACUCUCUAUAAUAGCAUACAUAUCAUUAAAAGAAAAUAAAGAGUAGAGAAAGGUAUCGCUUGAGUCAACUUCUACUAAGGUGUCCUCAUGUAUGUACUCACUACUAGUUUUCAAAUCAUCACCAUAAGUACUCCCAACAAUAAGGUCAUACAAGGUAGAAGACAAAAUAAUCUCCAAGACUACAUAUUCCUUACCCUUAAGAGUACUCUCAUCUUCCAAGAAGAGAUUUUCAUCUUUAGGAGGAAUGUUAUAACACUAUAGUGGGCUGGCAUAUAGGCUAUAGCCUUUAAGAAAGCUAUACCUUCAACAUCAUUCUCACCACUAGGUUUAUUAAGAGUGAUUAUACCAUCUUCGAACAAGAUGUUAUACCUAAGGAGAGUAGGAUCUACCAUCGGGGAAGAUUUAGAACGCACAAGUUCAUUCUCUAAAGGACAACCAUCAAGUUCCAAAGAAGUUUCAAACACAUAAUCAUCCUUACGAGCAAUAAAACCUAUAGGGUCUCCUUUACCAAAAGGCAAGAUCACGGGUUCACUCCUAUCUCUUUGACCAACAUCUUCAAUUACAUGAUUUCUAUGAGCAAAACUAACAAUAAGGCCUUUAUCACACAACAUGAUUAAAGAAUUAUCUCCAAUAUCAUAAUCAACUCUAUCAAUAUCAUCACUAACUUGAGACUCAUUAAGCACACCAUACACAUACUCAUGUAGUGAAUUACAUUCAUGAGUAAGUUUAUCAUUAUACACACCCUCACUAGUUGUUGGCAACUCACAUACCAACGUAGAAUCACCUUGGUUUACAUAAAGGUCAACUAGUGUAUGAAUACUCUUAUCACUCAGCAAUAGGGCCUUGUUCAAGUUAUAAGUAAUAACACUAGGUGGACACAAAUCAUUCUUACGAGAAAAAUCAAUUUUGUCAUCGAUAGGAUCAACUAGUGCUUGCAUACUUACAAUAAGAGUUCGGUCUUUAUACAGCCUAGCAAUACUAAGAGUAUCACAAAGGGAAGACUCAUUCUAUUCUCCCCUAGGUAAACCCGCAAGUACACCUUCUCGGAUACUACUAGCCACAUCACAACAUGCUAAGUUCAUAGGAGUAUAAGGAAUGACAUCGUUACCUUGUAGAUCACACGGUUUUGGUGUAGCUUGGGGCACUUGGUUAAGUGGAUCUUAGAAUAGAGGGAUCAUCUUUGGUAUAGUUUAGGAGUUUCUUCGACCUCUGAUGUGACCCAACCUUCCACUUAUAGUGGACAUAUCUCCCUUCAAUGAUGACAUAUCCUCUUUGAUUGAUGUUAUGUUGGUAAGUAACCUUUUAUAUCUCUGGUUGAUAUCUUUAAGAGAGGCCAAGAUAGUGUGGGAAGCAUUAUUAUCCAUGGUACCUAAGAAAGACAAUAAAAAAACAAACAAAUAUGUUAGCUCAAAAGGUAUCCUCUCCACACUCUCAUACUUUUGGUUACUGUACACUUGGCUUCACAAGUGUUAAAAGUUGGCUUAUAAUAUGUGAGAAGUUGAGGGAUGAGUUCUACUCUUCUUCGAAAUGGGUUUUUUGUUUGAAAGACUCAAAGAAAUCUUGCUCAAACUUGAGCCAAGAAACCACAGUGAAUUAUUAAAAUUUAAAAUUACUGGCCAUGUGGCAACAUUGGAUUGGGCAUUGGAAUUGUUGAAAUUUGAAAAAAAUUUCUUGUCUUCAAUUUGUAUUGAACAAUUUUCAAUUUAGAAUUGUGAAAAUCAGCUUUGGGAGAGAAGAAAAAAAGUUUGGAGCCUUUUUCAAUUUCAAAAAGGUUUGACUUUUCUUGCACCUUUUUGGCUAAACACUUUUUUGAAAGACUUUUGGCUCUUUACCUUAUUGCUUUGUCUUGGUAGGUGUUCUUUCUUUUUUUUGGUAAGACAACUUUUGAAACUCUUUUGUCUCCUUACUUCUUUGGUAUUUUCUUAGGAUAGGUUUCAAGAGUAACAAAGACCACACCUUAUUUUUCCACUUUUUAAGAUCAAACUACCCCUUUGAGUGUUCUUGCUCAACUAUACAUGAAGAACAACAAGAACACUAAAAAAUGAAUCCAAUCUAAAGGAGCUCUAAAUUGAAUAUUUUUGUUUUCUUUAGCUCAUUUUGAACUCCACAACAAUAUCAAUACAUGCUCAAUCCACAACAACAACAUGUACAAACUUGAAUCCACAAUAACAACAACCUUCGAAGUUCAAGAACAACUCAAAAAUAGCUCAUAAUUUAGAUCUAGACUCUAUUAGUGUUAGUAAAGAAGGUGAUAACACUAUAAACAAUCAAAACACAUAAAAAUCUCCUAAAUCUACGAUACAAAUUUUGGCCAAAGACCAAAAAUAGGAUAGAUUUCUUUAUUUUGAGAUUUUUGGUUUUUCAACGCCUUUUUUAUGUUUUUCGAGUUAAAAAAUCCCAAGAUUGCUCUAGAUCUCGCAGGAAUGAAAUCAAUCCUUUCUCUAAUACCAAAAGAUAAGGGGGUAGAUACAAGACCCUAAAAUAGCCAAGAACACAAGAUAAAAUUGAGAGCAAGAUGGAAACAAGAUACGGCCACAACAACACAAACCGAGAAUAAGAAACAAGAUACAAAAACACACAAAAUGUAAUAAGAUAAAGGAUAAUUAGUUUACCAUAAAGAGAUUGCAAAACCCAAGAGCCAAGACGUGUCUCAAACAUCAAGACCCUUAAAUACCGUUAUAACUAACACUAAACUCUUACAUGACCCAAGAGGGAAUUCACUCACCUAAAAAACCUACGUUUCUAAGCCAAGAUUUCAACACAAGUGAGUACCACACUUGUCUUGCCUAGUUUUGGUUUUGGUCUACUCUUACUAGAGAGGAUUUGUUAUACAAUGCUUCUUUUAGAUUUAAAUAUUCAACAAAAACUAUUGAAAUAAACCUAACAAGUGUCUACUUAUAGUCUAUUACAAGUGAGGAUAAAAUGACCAUUUCCCUUAGUGAGAGGGGCGGUCAUGGUAUGUUAAGACAUCAUGUGAAAUCUCUAAAAUACCCUUAAUGAAGGGGAGACCAUGGUGUGUUUUUACUUAAUGAAUGGCACCUUUUCAAUGCUCUCAAAAUCGUGGGCGGUUCAUACUUCAACACUUGUAUUCUUGGGUUGGCAUCAAGGUAAGCAUCCAAGCAACCUUCUACACACGAGAUUACUUUAUUAUAGGCUUAAAAUGGAUCCCCCAUGUGAGUUCCCGUGCCCUCAAUGUGACCAAAAUCGGAUUCUUUAUAUGUUGGUGUUGUAUAAUGUCUUCAAAAGCUAUGACGACCAUUUUCCUUGUAUCACCAAGACUACUCUCACAUCGGCAAACAUAAGUUUUUGGUAUCGGUCCCACUGAUCCCUCACCUUCCAUAGUGUUGCUACCCGACCCUCUUAAGCCCAAUUAAACCAUUUUAAAUAUAACCAAACCAUUUACCAAGGAGUCUUUUGUCUAGGAAUUAACUAUUGGUAUCGUCAUACAAAAAUUAGAGCUUGCAAGUCUAUCCUCUUAUGCUAUACCAAUACCAUUAACUAAGUUGACUCCUAAGUUUCCAGUUGAACCAAAACUAUGGCCAUCAAUUAUUGGGUAUGUCAUUAUGUUAACUUUAUUCCCAAGUUAUUUGCUAGUGCUCAACCCACUAACUAUCUUCGAAUGCUGUAUACCCUCAUAAUAUAGACACAUAUACCUCUACUUUUCCUGUACAGAGUUAGGUGGAUUGUCUUAAUUUAUCAGUUUAUUUUGGUAAAGUGGUGAGCUUCCAUUCUUCGAAAGACUUAGACAUUUCAUUUGUUCUUAUCAUUAAUUAAGAUUGAGUUUUCAUUAUCAUUAACAUUAUCAUUGUCAUUAUUGGAGCAUAUCCCAACCAAGAUUGGUUUUGGUUCUUUUUGCAUUGAGGUUUUAUUGGAUUACUAUAAAAUUGGGUGAUGUUGGUUGGAUGUGUUUGGUCAGUUGCCAGUUAUCGAUUAUAGACAUAUCUUUUAUUCUUUAAACUUAUCUUAUGCUAUCUCCUUAUAUAUUCAAAAUUCAGCCAUUGUUGGGCGGUGUAUGGUAUUUGGUUAGGUUUAAAGGGUGGUCUCCAGUCAAUAAUGGAUUAGAAAGGCCUGUCACAGCCAGGCCCUAGUUUAAGUUAUGACAAAGUUGGUAUUAGGGCCUAGGUUUGGUGUCAUUGGGUAUACACAACGAUGUGUUAAGUAGAGUCUCUUUUGUGGGUGUGUAGCAUGCCACACUUAUAAUGGAAAGGCUAUGAGGCAUUUAAGAUUAUUUCCCUUUCUUAUUGUUCUAUUUUGAGCUAUAGAGUCUAAGGUCUUGAAAUCUCCUCUAAUCUCUAUUUGUUCGCUUUUCAGAUUAUGCUUUCUAAAAGAUCUGAUACUUGUGAAAAUUCUUUUAUCCCGUCAGAGAAUAAUGUGGAUAGAGCUUGUCCUAGUCUAGGGUCAUUUCUUCUAAUUGCCCUAGUAAAAUUCCCCUAGUUCCCCUAGCCCUCCUCAGGCACCUCAAGCUAGCGUGUCUAAUAUUGAGUUUUGCUAGUUAAUUCAUUUGCUUACCCAGUUGGUGGCAGACUGAGUAUGUUACUUUUGUUGCCCCAUUCUCUGAGGUCACUAGAGUUGGCCAAUUUAUGAGGUUGGGUUCUCUGACUUUCACUGAUACUAAAGUCGAGAAAGAUCCUUAAAAUUUCAUUGAUGAGAUAGAAAAUAUGUUUUGUGUGAUGCAUACUACUAAUAUAAAGGUUGUGCAGUUGCUUCCUAUCAGUUAAAGAAUGUAGCGUAUCAGUGGUAAUGAUGAAUAGGAUCAGUCUAGGGGUAAUAAUGCUGAGUCUACUUUGUGGGACAACUUUUCUAGUGCUUUUCUUAAUCUUUUCUUUCCUUAGAAGUUAAGGAAGGCAAGGUUUGAGAAAUUUGUGAACUUAAAGUAAAGCAGAAAGACAAUAAUCCUUGAAGUUUCAUUAGUUGUAACGAUAUGCUCCAAAAUUUGUGUCUAGCAUGUGGUCUAAAAUGGGAAAGUUUGCUUCUGGGUUAUCCCGUGAGUUAAUUUUUGAGAGAAAGGCUGCCUUGUUGUAUAAGGACAUGGGCAUCUCUAUACUUGUGGUGUAUAUGCAAUAAGUGGAAAAUGAGAAGAAAAAGCAAGUAGAGAUGAGUGAAAGGUAGAAUACAAAUUUUUGGUAUUAAGAUCAGGGUAAAGGUUAGGAGGAGAGUGGUAGAGAUGGUAGAAAUUAGUCUAAGAAGAAAUAGGGCAAUUUUGAUUCCUACUCUAUGGAUAGUGCUUCUUAUCUAAGGCCAUUGGGUGAUUAUUGUUCUUAGAAUAGUGUUGGUUCCAAGACAAAGAGUGUCAAUCCAUAGGCUAGUGGGGCUUAGUAAGGUCUAUUAUAUCUCUCUUAUAGAUUUUGCAGCUUAGUGCAUUAUGAUAUUUGUGAAGAGAGAAGGAACAAGUGUUUUACGUAUGGUCAUAUUAGUUAUAUGAAGAGGGAUUGCCCUUCUAGGGUUUCUUUUGGGGAAAAUAAUAUCUCUGUUGCUACUUCGCUAGCUCUUGCAACAAAGGGUGCUACUUCUGAUUUUGGCUCCGGCACUGGUCGGAAUCGUUUGUACGCUCUUUUUGUACGCUCUCCCCGCUCACCAGGAUUUUGAGGCAUCCUCCAAUAUUGUUACUGGUAAGCUCAAACUUUUUUCUCGUUAUGUAUAUAUAUACUUGAUCUUGGGUUUACCCUUUCUUAUGUGACCCCUUAUGUGGCUAUUCAUUUUGGGUUUGGUCUUGAGUGUAUUCUGGAUCCCUUCUUUGGGUCCACCCGGUGGGUGACUCCAUUGUGGCUAAAAGGGUAUAUAGGGGUUGUGUAAUGUCUGUCAGUGGUAGAAAAACCUUGGUGAGUCUGAUAGAGUUAGACAUGUUAGACUUUGUUGUGAUUUUAGGGAUGGAUGGUUGUACUCGUGCUAUGCGUAGCUUUAUUGUCGAACCCAAAGGGUCAGUUUCCACUUCCCUAAUGAUUCGGUGAUUGAAUGGGAAGCUAGUUCCCUAGUGCCUAAGAGAAGGUUCAUUUCAUUUCUGAGAGCCCAGAAGUUAAUUUCCAAGAGGUGUCUCUACCACUAGUUCAUGUUAUGGAUUCUAGAUUCAAAGGUCCUUCUUUGUAUUAUGUCCCUAUGGUCUGUAAGUUUCCUGAGGUGAUGAUCUUCUGGUGUUUCUCCCGAUAGGAAAAUUGAUUAUGGGAUUGAUUUUUUUUUGGACAUUCAUCCUAUUUCUAUCCCUCCCUAUAGAAUGGCUUCAGAUGAGUUGAAAGAACUCAAGAAGAAGUUGAAAGAUCUUCUAGAUAAGGGUUUUGUUUGCCCUAGUGUUUCUACUUGGGGUUCUUUAAUUCCUUUUGUGCGUAAGAAGGAUGGGUCCCUUCGAAUAUGUAUAGAUUACCUCCAGCUGAAUAAGGUGACGAUAAAGAAUAAGUAUCCACUUGCUAGAAUCAAUGACUUCAAUCAGAUUUAGGGUGCUAAGUGCUUCUCCAAGAUUGAUCUUCGAUCUGUUACCACCAGUUGAAGAUUAGGGAUAUGGAUAUCCCUAAGACUACCUUUCAAACUGAAUAUGGUUAUUUUGAGUUUUUGGUGAUGUCCUUUGGUUUGACUAAUGCCCCAACAAUAUUUAUGGACCUUAUUAAUCGAGUAUUCUGUUAGUUCUUGGAUUUGUUUGUUAUUAUUUUUAUAUAUGAUAUUUUAGUGUAUUUCAAAAGUGAGACAAAUCAUGUCGAUCACCUUCUCCUUGUAUUACAAACCUUGAAGGAUCAACGAUUGUAUGUGAAAUUCAUAAAGUGUGAAUUUUGUUGAAUAUUGUGACCUAUUUGGGUCAUUUUGUUUCUAGUAAAGGGAUCAUGGUGGAUCCACAGAAAGUUUCAGUAGUGAAGAAGUGGCUUAGACCCAUGACUCCAACCAACAUUUAGAGCUUCUUGGGUUUAGCCGGUUAUUGUAGGAGGUUUGUGGAAAUUUCUCUUUUAUUGCUACUUCAUUGACUAGUUAACUCAAAAGAAGGUGAAGUUAUUAUGGUCUAACACAUAUGAGGGUUGCUUCGAGAAGUUGAAGGAUAAGUUAACUUAAGUUUCGGUCUUGAAUCAACCUGAGGGCACUGAGGGUUUUAUUAUUUAUUGUGAUGCAUCUCUGGUGAGACUGGGUUGCGUGUUGAUGCAUCAUGGCAAGGUGGUUGUAUAUGCUUCUAGACAGUUAAAGGUUCAUGAGAAGAAAUAUCUAACUCAUGAUUUGGAGUUGUUAGCUGUUGUGUUUGCAUUGAAGAUAUGACGACAUUAUUUAUAUGGGGUCCAUGUAGAUAUUUAUUCUAAUAAUAAGAGCCUGCAAUACGUGUUCACUUAGAAAGAUAUAAAUCUCUGGAUAAAGAGGUGGCUUGAGUUGCUAAAGGACUAUGACAUGAGUCUCCACUAUCACCAGGUACAACUAACCCCAUUGCUGAUGCUCUUAGCAGGUUGUCCAUAGGGAGCUUAUCUCAUGUGGACAAGGAGAAAUGUGAUUUGGUGAUGGACAUUCACUGUUUGGCUAAUCUUGGAGUCUGUUUCAUAAAUUCUGAUGAUAGUGGUAUAAUUGUUCAAGGGUGGUGAAGUCAUCUCUUGGUGAGAAAGUAAAGGAGAAACAGGUUUUAAAUCCUAUAUUGAUUCAUAUCAAGGAUGAGCUAGGUUACCAAAAAGUGAUAGCUUUAGAGAUUGGUAGUGAUGGUAUCUUGAGGUACCAAGGUAGAUUAUAUGUUUCCAAUGUUAAUAGGUUGCGAGGAAGAAUUUUGGCAGAGACUCAUGAGUCACGUUAUAUGGUUCAUCCUGGUUUGAUGAAAAUGUAUCAUGAACUUCAAGAGAUUUAUUGGUGGAAUGAUAUAAAGCGGGAUGUGGCCAAUUUUGUGGCUAACUGUAUUAUGUGUCAGUAAGUAAAGGUUGAGCACUUAAGGCCCGGUAGUUUGAUUAAAGAGAUUGAGCUGCCGGUGUGGAAAUAAGAAAUAAUUAAUAUGGAUUUUGUUACCAGCCUUCUAUGGUCUAGCCAACAACUUGAUUAGAUUUGGAUCAUUGUGGAUAAGAUGACCAAGUUUGUGCACUUCUUGCUAGUAAGGAAUAAUUUCUCUUAUGAGGAUUAUGCUAAGCUUUUAAUUGAGGAGAUAGUGAAGUUGUUUAUUGCUCUAGUUACUAUAAUUUCCAGUCAUGGUACCCAGUUCUCAUCUCACUUUUGGAGGUCAUUCUAGCGAGGUUUGGGGACUAAGGUAACCCUUAGUACUGCUUUUUAGCUGCAGAUGAAUGGGAAAAUGGAAAGGACAAUUCAGGCCUUAGAAGAUAUGCUUAGGGCUUGUGUAUUUAAUUUUGGUGGUAGUUGGGUUGAUCAUUUUCCUCUCAUAGAGUUUGCAUAUAAUAACAGUUAUCACUUUAGCAUUGGUAUGUCUCCAUUUAAGGCUUUGUAUGGUAGGAGGUAUAGGUUUUCUAUUGGGUGGUUUGUGAAACACUCUAGAUUUUGACCCUUAAAAAAUUUCUUGAGUUUGAGCUUCUGGACAUCAUACGACUUGAGGGUACUUUUUUGGAUGAUGUGCGUAUGAUUUAAGGUCCUCAACUCAUAUGAUAAUUAGUGUGGUUUGGUUAGUUUCUGUCUAAGGUACGAAUGGACAUCAUACUAGUCGUAUGUUAGGGUACGUAAAGUAUAAUGCCUAACCGUAUGAUAUCCUAUAUCUAUCCUUAAUGAUUCAACCUAAGGUAUAGUUUAAGGGUACCAAUCGUAUGCUAUGGAUAUGAUUUGGCCCUUAUGGUCAUAUAUUGGACAGUGUUGAAGUCCAAGUAGGUACGAGUGGUGGGUACUACUAGUAUGUUGUGGGUACGGUUUGGGAGGUGUGGUCGUACCCUCUUGCACUUAUUUUUUAUCUUUUAAGAUAAGGACAUCUUAGACAUUUCCCGCUCCCCAAACCGUUAAUACCCACAUCUUAUAACAUUAAUUGGUCCCUCAUUCUUCACUUGGAAAGAUCAAAACAUUCCUAAAACUUUCUCUAAACUCUCUCAAGAAGAUUGUGCUAGGAUUUUCUUUAAGUGUUAACCUAGAGGCUUAAAAACCUAAUCCUCUCCAUGAAUCUUUGUAAAUAAGGCAUGCUACUCUUCCCUCAUUGUUAGUUCAAACUAAAACUAUGUUUUACUUAAUGGUUUCAUGGCAUAAUUAUGGGUUUGUGUUGAUUUUGAAAUAUAUGUUGGGGGUUGUGGUUAUUAAUGGUUGGAUGAUGUUUUCCUAUAAUCUAUUUAUGGUUUUUUUCAUAUUGUAGUGUUGGUUUGAACAUGUUGUUCCAUGGGAAUGGUUAAUUGGUUCUUGAUUUUGGUUUUAGAAAUAUAUGCCCUCAACGCGCUUGUUAAAAUGCCUAAGAGAAUAGUUUUGUCACAUAGUUUGACUUUUAUUGAAAACCUUGCAUUCCAUAAUAUAGUAAUUGAACCUAAAUUGGUUUUGUUGGUUUUAAAUGGUUGGGAAAGGCCUUGGUAGCAAUAGAACCUAGAUUGAUUGUUUUGGAAUGGAAGUUGGCAAUAAACUCAACCCACUUGCAUAAUUGUUUUUGGUUUGGUUUGUUUCUUUAGACUAAUGCAUAUCAUAAAUGGUUAAUUUGUUAAAGAUAGUUUUGAAAACCUUGUAGGGUACAUGAGAAUCCCCCAAGUGAUUUUAAUAAUAGGGUAUGUGAGGUACAUGGGAAUCCCUUAAGUGUUGGCUAAUGACAUUGCUUGCAAGCUAUAGUCGGUAUGACGAUACCACUUUUUAAUGCCUUAAUAAUUGACUCCUAGAAUCAGUGGUUUGAUUAUGUGUUAAAUGUUUUAAUUAGGCAAUAAUAACGGGUUGUGAUAGCUAGCCAUGAAGGUGUGAGUCUGAAAGGUUGACACUGGAAACUCAUAUUUACUAACAUGAGGAUUAGUCUUGAUGACCACGUACUUGUGGGGUAUAAGGGAAUCCCCAAAGUACAUAUACAUAUAUAUGCAUCACAGAGGGCUAAAGGUACAACAGAAUCCCCUACCUCUAUGAUAUCUCCAGUUCAUGCAGCUACACGUAAUGGGGCCCAUCCAGGGGGUAACACUGGGCCCAUAUAGAUCGUGGGUGGAUUAUAAUGGUAAAGCCACACGACCCAGGUAAUGGUUUCAAAUACAUGCUGAAUCCAAUUUCUUUUCCCAGCAUGAUAUAUAUAUAUGUAUGUAUGUGAUUGUAAAUGGUUAUUUACUUUAGUUUUGACUAAUGACAUUAUUUUAUCCUUACUUCUAAGUAUAUGCUAGUGUUCAUCCGCUAACCUAUCUUCAGGCGCUGUAUCCCCAUGCGAUGCAAGAAUAGGCCAUACUAUCACACCUUCUUCUUAGUGACUUGGUGAUUCAGGGACAACUUGAGUCAGAUUGAAGUGGUGUUCUUUCAUUCUUCGGAAGGCCUAUUUCAUGUUAUACUUUACCUUAUGCUUUUACUAUUCUCUUGAUAUUUGUUUUUGGCUAUGGUUGGGGUCAUGCCCCGACUAAAUAUUCUUGGUCAUUGUUUAGAGGCUUCGUAUGAACAAUUAUGAACUUGGGUAUGAAAUGGAUAUGGUUUUGGUUAUUUUUAGGUUUGGGUCGCUAUUAGUUUAUUUGACUUGGUUGGGUUGGUCUUAGUUAUAGACCUAUCCUACAAUCAUUACAUUUUAAAUUACUCUAUCAAGGUAUAUGUUGGUUUGUUUGGGUAUUGGGGGUGGUCUCCGGUCUUUGUUGGAUUUGAGAUGCCCAUUACGAUAAGGCCCUGAUUUGAGUCGUGUCAAGUUAGUAUUAGAGCCUAGGUUUUAGUGUCAUGGGCUAUCCACAAAGCCAUAUCGAGUAGAGUUUUUUUUAUGGGUUUGUAGCACACCAUACUUAUAAGGGAGAGGCUACGACAUAUUUAGGAAUGUUUCACUUUCUUGUUAUUCUAUUUUUGGGCUACAGAGUUUAGGGUCUUGAACUCUCUCCUAGAUUUUCUUUUGUUCGCCUCUCAGAUCAUGCCUUUUCGAUGAUCUAAAACUCAUGGAACUUACCCAUCCUACCCAAGGAUAAUGUGGAUGGAUCUCGUUCAACUCAUGGGGUAAAGACUUGGUCAAGGGUCAUUGCUUUUGAUUUUUCUCGUGAUGUUCCACCACUCUUCACUGACCCUGCUUUGGAAGGUGACACUCAUGGUCAGUCAUCUCAAGAAGAUGUUGCCAAUGCCGAGUUUUGAUAUUUUAUUCAUUUGUUAAUCUAGAUAGUGGCAUAUCUAUCACGCCAGUCUGGUACUAUUGGUAUGAGAAAAAAUAAGGCAAGGCCGAGAAAUAGGUAGAGUAAGAAGUCUAAAUAUUCAAAUCGAGGGAGGGGUCAGAAAAAUAGUGGUAAAAGUGGUGGACAGUGGUUUGAGCAAGGGAAUCUGGGGAGUUCUCAUGUGAUUGUUAGUGUCCUCUAUCCUCAGUCUUCUGGUGAAUAUCAUUUUCAGGCUGGUGGAGUUCGAUCAACCCUACCCUAUCCCUCUUACUAAUUUUAUGGUCUGUUAUACCCCGAUUAUUGCUAUAAAGAGAGGAAUUAGUGUUUUAGUUGUGGUCAGUUGGGUCACAUGCAAUGGGAGUGUCCCACAAGGAUUGCCACUAGGGUAAAUAGGAUACUGAUUGCCACUUUUGUAUCUCCUACACCAAGAGGUGCUACUGCUCUUCCUGAUGAUCUCAUUAUCCCUUGGAGUUCGAGGCAUCACUGAUGUCAUUACUGGUAUUUUGAAACUCUUUUCUCAUGAUGUGUACUGUUUACUUGAUCCAGGGUCCACUCUCUCUUAUGUGACCCUUUCUAUGGCUGUGUAUAUUGGUUUUGAUCCCAAGUAUAUUUUGAACCCCUUUUCUAUUUCUACCCCAGUAGAUGACUCUGUGAUUUUUCGAAAGUCUAUAGAGGGUGUGUGUUAUCUAUCGGUGGUAAAGAAACUGUGAUGGAUCUAUUUGAAUUAGAUGUGGUUGAUUUAAUAUCAUAUUGGGGAUGGAUUGGUUGCACUUGUACUAUGCGUCUCUAGACUAUUGGACCUGUAAUGUCAUCUUUAAAUCCCUAGCAAACUGGUUAUAAAGCGGGAGGGUGGUUCUAUAGUUCCUAAGAAGAGGUUUAUAUCAUAUCUUAAAGUUCAGAGAUUGAUCUCCAAGGGGUGUAUCUAUUAUUUGAUCUAGGUUAAAGGUUCUUAUAUUCCAUCCUAGUAGUGAGUGAAUUUCCUGAUAUCUUUCUUAAUGAUCUUCCUUGUAUCCCACCCAAUGGGGAAACUAAUUUUGGGAUUGAUCUACCUUCGAACACUCAUUCAUUCCCUAUCUCUCUUUAUAGAAUGACUCUUCUUAAGUUAAACAAGCUUAUAAAAUAGUUGGAGUAUCCUUUGAGAAGGGUUUGUUUACCUUAGUGUUUCUCCGUGGGGUGUUUUCGUUCUUUUAUGCAUAAGUGAGGAUGGUUACCUCUGGGUAUGUAUAGGUUAUUGACAGGCGAAUAAGUAAUACAGGGUGACCUUCUAUAUUUUGCGGAGGGUACUCAGUAGGUAGUGCAUGAUGGUUGAUAGAACUAAGUUUGAACCUUAGAUGUUGAUUUUGGUGAAGGGAGUAUAUUAGCUUGAAAAUUUCUAGGUGAGAGUUAUGGGGGUAUAUUGGUAGGCUUGGUGGGGUGUUUGGAGGAGGCGAGGUUGAUUACUUAGGGGAUACAAGAGUAGGAAAGUUGUAACAUAAAGGCCGGAGGUCCAGGUUUAACUGAUGGAUUGGGGCUAAGUCAUUAAAUAGGUUAGUACAUGGGGUUUGUGGGACUAUGCUGGACCCCAGGUAGAAUCUGGAUAGAUGAGGUUUUAGGUGUAAAAGAGACAAGUGCCCCUAGAACAUGUCCGUAGUAAUACCCCUUAGAGCAGAGUGUUGUGCUUAUUGGUGUAGUAAUAUGGAGAUCGAAGGGUUAACCUAAAAUUUAUGCCUGUGGUGGACUUCAAUGGGAAAGUUGGGGUGAAUUUACUCCUAUUCUAGAGAUUCUCUCCUAUUUUGAUUAAGAGGGCACUUUUUUAGUAUUUCACACAUUCUAAUAGUGCUUAUGCCUAAGGUCUACAUUUUAUGUGUCGCGUAUGUCCAUACUCCAGCCCCUGAAUCAAAGGCAAUAAUAGUCCUCAGAAAUUCAAGUUUUUAGGUGUUGAAGCUUUAUGCCAUGAUACUCAUGAUUUGUAUAUUCAUGUCUUACGUCAUGCUUCGUUUCAAGAAAUAAUAGUUUCAAGGGAAAAUCCUUUCUUUGUUCCCUGAAUAUGAAUCUCGGCUUUAUGUUACAUUUUCUAUGAUAUAUGUAGUUCUGUUUCUUCCAAUGCCCAUCCUAAGGACUCGUAUUACGGUGUAUAUAUUUUGGAGUAAUCCUUUAUUUAUAACCUGAGUGGUUUCUUUAGAGUACCUCAUACCUAUAUCACCGUAUCUCAUUUCUCAAGUCUCGCCUUGAGUAGUAAGACAAAUAGAAGUUGCAAUUGAGAAGAACCACCCCUCGUUCUUGAUGCUUAUACUCUAGAUCCUCAGUAACCUUUCUUAUGUUUGGGUGGUUUCACCUUAGAAGCGUAGUGAUGUUUUGGAAGAGAGAGUAAAUGUCCUUUGUCGUGAAAUUCUAGGGUGACUACUUGAGCUAAGGUUAUGAGUGUAAAUGGAAGAAUGAGAUGAAUAUUGUCAUACAAAAUAGUUGCGGAUGAGAGUCGUGGUGAAAACCUUUAUGAUGUAACUAAGGGUGUUAUUUUUGGUAAGGAAAUCCAUACAAUGGGUGUAGUAAGAUAGGCUGGAGCGUGGUUAUUAGUAGGUACCCGACCAUUAUGUUAUGCGGCAAAAGCUCCUUAAUUAAGACCUGAGGUGUGUUAAUAGUAGUGAUAGAUAGGGUGGCAUUAUCGGAAUGGUGUAAAGUAUGGGGUCCCAUGGCUUCCACUAGCACCUUUAACUCCCAAUUAGUCUUUAACAUGGGAUGGAUAUACUGUUAUGCUUAAGUCCUCUAGUUAUGUAUAUAUGAGGGGAGUUGAGAGGUUGAAAAUGGAGGAGUGUUUUCUUCAUGUUGAAAGUUUGGUGGAUGGUGUGUCCGUAUUAAGGGGAUAUUAGAUUAGAUGCAUGCGUUAUGAAGGAAGAGGCUACUUGGGAAGUGGUAGAGGACAUGAAGUUCAAGUAUGCAUAUUUUCUCUCCAUUUUGGAUAAUCGUGCUUAAAAUGUGUAUUUAUUCUUAAUAUCUCCAUUGUCUGUACGAUUAAAGAAAAUAGUGAUUCCUUAAUGUCUUUGUUUUUCUAACUUCAUUAAAGGGGAGUUUAAUAGGCAGUAUUAUGUUGAAACCGUGCUUAUGCUUACCUUUACCCAUCAUUCGAGGAUGAAUGAUCCUAGUGGGGGAGACUAAAACACCCUGGAUUUUGACCCUUAGAAAAUUUCUUGAAUUCGAGCUUCUUGACAUUAUACGACUUAAAGGUACUUGUCGUAUGAUAUGGGUAUAGUUUAGGGUCCUCAACUCAUAUGAUAAUCAGUGUGGUUUGGUUGGUUUCUGUCCAAGGUACGAAUGGACAUCAUACUAGUCGUAUGUCAGGGUACGAGAAGUAUAGCGCCAAACCGUAUGAUGCCGUAUGUUUAGCCUAGAUGAUUCAGCCUAGGGUAUGAUUUAAGGGUACCAAUCGUAUGUUAUGGAUACGAGUUGGCCCUUGUGGUUGUAUGUUGGACAAUGUUGAAGUCCAAGUUGCUGCCAAGGGUACGAGUGGUAGGUACCACACGUAUGCUGUGGGUACAGUUUGGGUGGUGUGGUCAUACCCUCAUGCUCUCAUUUUUCAGCUUUUAAGUAGAGGCCAUUUUAGAUAUUUCCCACCCCCAAAACCCUUAAUACCCUCGUCCUAUAACAUUAAUUGUUCCCUCAUUCUUCACUUGGAAAGAUCAAAAUACUCCUAAAAUUUCUCUAUAUUCUCUCAAGAUGAUUGGGCUAGGGUUUUCUUCAAGUGUUCAUCUAAAGGCUUAAAGAUCGAAUUCUCUUUGUGAAUCUUCGUAAAUAAGGCAUGUUACUCUUCCCUCAUUGUUAUUUCAAACUAAAAGCAUGUUUUUCUUAAUGGUUUUCAUGGCAUAUUUGUGGGUUUGUUGGUUUUGAAAUAUAUGUUGGGGGUUUUGGUUACUAAUGGUUGGAUGAUGUUUUUGCAUGUUCUAUUUAUGGUUUUUUUUCAUGUUAUAAUGUUGGUUUGAACAUGUGGUUGCAUGGUAAUCAUUAAUUGGUUCUUGUUUUUUUUUUUUGGAAACUAUAUGCCCUCAACAUGUUUGUUAAAAUGCCUAUGAGAAUAGUUUUGUCACAUAGUUUGACUUUUAUUGAAAACCUUGCAUUUCAUAGUAUAGUAAUGGAACCUAAAUUGGUUUGGCUGGUUUUAAAUGGUUGGGGAAGGCCUUGGUGGCCACAGAACCCAAAUUGAUUAUUUUAGAAUGGAAAUUGGCAAUAAACUCAAUCCAUCUUUAUAAUUAUUUUUGGUUUAUGCAUUACUACUUGGUUUGUUUGUUUAUUGAGACUAAUGCAUGGCAUAAAUGGUUAAUUUGUUAAGGAUGGUUUUAAAAACCUUUUGGGGUACACGGGAAUCCCCCAAGCGAACUUAUAAUGAAAACCUUGUGGGGUACACGAGAAUCCCCAAGUAAUUUUAGUAAUGGGGUCUGCGGGUACCUGGGUUUCCCUUAAGUAUUGGCUAAUAACAUUGCUUGCAAGCUAUAGUCGGUAUGACGACACAAAUUUAUAAUGCCUUAAUAAUUGACUCUUGGAAUCGGUGGUUUGGUUAUGCAUUAAAUAUUUUAAUUGGGCAAUAAUAGCGGAUUUUGAUAGCUACCCAUGAAGGUGUGAGUCCGAAAGGUUGACACUGGAAUCUCAUGUUUGCCAACAUGAUGAUUAGUCUUGAUAACCACACACUUCUGGGGUACAAGGGAAUCCCCAAGUACAUACACGUACAUAUGUAUCAUAGAGGACGACGGGUACAAGGGAAUCCCCUACCCCUAUAAUAUCUCCAGUUCAUAUGGCUACAUGCACUGGGGGCCAUCUAGGGGAUAACACUAGACCCAUAUAACCCGUGGGUAUAUUAUGACGAUAAAGCUACGCAUCCUAGGUAAUGGUUUAAAAUGCAUGCUAAACUUUGUUCAUUUUCCUAGCUUUAUAUAUAUAUAUGUAUGUAUGUGAUUUUUAUAUGGUUAUUUACUUUAGUUUUGAAUAAUGGCAUUAUUUUAUCCUUACUCCUGAGUACAUGCUAGUAUUCACCCGCUAACCCAUCUUCGGCCACUGUAUCCUAUGUGAUGUAGGAAUCGGCCAUACUAUCAUAUCUCCUGCUCAGUGACUUGGUGAUUCAGGGACAACUUGAGUCAAACUGAAGUGGUGAGCUUUUAUUCUUCGAAAGGCCCAUUUCAUAUUAUGGUUUACCUUAUGAUUUACUAUUUUCUUGACAUCUGUUUUAUGCUAUGGUCGGGGGCAUGUCCUGACUAGAUAUUCUUGGUCAUUAUUUAGAGGCUUUGUAUGGACAAUUAUGGACUUGGGUAUGGAAUGGAUAUGGUUUUAGUUAUUAUUGGGUUUGGGUUUCUAUUGGUUGAUUUGACUUGGUUGGGUUGGUUUCGGUUAUAAGCCUAUCCCAAAGUCAUUACAUUUUGAAUUACUCUAUAUUAUUGUAUGUUCGGAAUUCAUCCAAUAUGUUGGUUGGUUGGUUUGGGUAUCAGGAGUGGUCUCUGGUCUUUGUUGGACUUGAGAUACCCAUUAUGACAAGGCCCUAGUUCGGGUUGUGUCGACACAAAUUUAUAAUGCCUUAAUAAUUGACUCUUGGAAUCGGUGGUUUGGUUAUGCAUUAAAUAUUUUAAUUGGGCAAUAAUAGCGGAUUUUGAUAGCUACCCAUGAAGGUGUGAGUCCGAAAGGUUGACACUGGAAUCUCAUGUUUGCCAACAUGAUGAUUAGUCUUGAUAACCACACACUUCUGGGGUACAAGGGAAUCCCCAAGUACAUACACGUACAUAUGUAUCAUAGAGGACGACGGGUACAAGGGAAUCCCCUACCCCUAUAAUAUCUCCAGUUCAUAUGGCUACAUGCACUGGGGGCCAUCUAGGGGAUAACACUAGACCCAUAUAACCCGUGGGUAUAUUAUGACGAUAAAGCUACGCAUCCUAGGUAAUGGUUUAAAAUGCAUGCUAAACUUUGUUCAUUUUCCUAGCUUUAUAUAUAUAUAUGUAUGUAUGUGAUUUUUAUAUGGUUAUUUACUUUAGUUUUGAAUAAUGGCAUUAUUUUAUCCUUACUCCUGAGUACAUGCUAGUAUUCACCCGCUAACCCAUCUUCGGCCACUGUAUCCUAUGUGAUGUAGGAAUCGGCCAUACUAUCAUAUCUCCUGCUCAGUGACUUGGUGAUUCAGGGACAACUUGAGUCAAACUGAAGUGGUGAGCUUUUAUUCUUCGAAAGGCCCAUUUCAUAUUAUGGUUUACCUUAUGAUUUACUAUUUUCUUGACAUCUGUUUUAUGCUAUGGUCGGGGGCAUGUCCUGACUAGAUAUUCUUGGUCAUUAUUUAGAGGCUUUGUAUGGACAAUUAUGGACUUGGGUAUGGAAUGGAUAUGGUUUUAGUUAUUAUUGGGUUUGGGUUUCUAUUGGUUGAUUUGACUUGGUUGGGUUGGUUUCGGUUAUAAGCCUAUCCCAAAGUCAUUACAUUUUGAAUUACUCUAUAUUAUUGUAUGUUCGGAAUUCAUCCAAUAUGUUGGUUGGUUGGUUUGGGUAUCAGGAGUGGUCUCUGGUCUUUGUUGGACUUGAGAUACCCAUUAUGACAAGGCCCUAGUUCGGGUUGUGUAAGUUUGAGGUUGGUAAAAAUAGGUUUUUCGGCUGUGAUUUGGUUCACUAAGCCAUGGAGAAGGUGAAUGUGAUUCAGGAAAGUCUUAAGACCACCCAAAGUUACCAAAAGUCCUAUGAGGAUGUAAGAUGGAGGAAGUUGGAGUUUCGUAUUUGUGACUAGGUGUUCUUAAAGGUUUCUCCCAUGAAGGGCGUGAUGCAGUUUGGGAAGAAGUUGAAGAUUAGUCCCCAUUAUGUUGGUUCAUAUUUGGUUUUUAAGAGGGUUGGAAAUGUUGAAUAUGAAUUGGAAUUUACUUUUAGAUUGAGCUCCAUUCAUCCGGUCUUCCAUGUUAUGAUAUUGAGAAAGUGCGUGGGUGAUCCUUCAUUGGGUGUUCCUUUAGAAGGUGUGGGCAUUUCGAAUUGCUUGUCUUAUAAGGAAGUUCUGGUUAAGAUCUUGGAUCGGCAAGUCCGUCGAUUACAGAUGAUGGAUGUGGCUUUGGUAAAGGUUCUUUUGAGGAACCAAAUGUUUGAGGAAGCUACAUGGGAAGCCGAGGAGGACAUGAAGUCCAAGUAUCCAUUCCUAUUUCCUAUUUUAGAAAAUCAUGCUUAAAGUAUGUGUCUGAUCUUAACUUCUUUAUUUUCUAUUUUUGGUAAAAGUAAGUGUGGGAGUGUUUCUGCAUUAAAUCAUGCUAACAUUUGCCUAGGCCCAUCAUUUGAGGAUGAAUGCUCCGGGGGGGGGGGGGAAUGUAACACCCCAGAUUUUGGUCCUUUAAAAUUUCUAAAAUUUUAUCCUCAAUGUCCUGACUACGACUCACCCUACAAGUCGUAGGGUGUCUUGACGGGUCAUAUGACCCUAAUCGUAAGGUGUCCAUCAAAUGAUGCUUGAGUUUUUAUCCUGAGUAUGACUUAGGGACACGAGAUGAAAAGACCUAUGACGAGUCGUUGGACUCAAAUCAUAGCCUAAAUAGUAUGUGUGUGUGGGUAAGUUCAUCUCUUAGUACGAGUGGCUCACUACGAGUUGUGAGAACUCAUUACGAGUCAUUUUGUGCAAAUCGCAGGACAUCCUGUGUUUACCCCAAUUAAUUUCUGUGUUAACUAUGAUUGAACCCCUUGAUUCGUAGGGUCCCAUUACGAGCCAUGGUAUACGAGUCGUAAGGCCAACAAUUUCUGUGCAUGGUGAGACUGUAUUGAUAAUGACUCAUGGAGAUAAGUCGUAAUGAGACGUGAUGAGUCGUUAUGAGAACCGUAACGACUAGCGAUUUAUUUUUCUAGCUUUUUAAAUGGGGGUAUUUUAGACAAUUGCCCCUUAUCCCAAUAAUAACCCACGAUUUAUAAACAUACUUGUGGCCCUAUUCUCAUUGAUAACUCACUCCAAACAUUCUUUCUUCUUAUUCAAGUAUCUCAAGCAUUCAUACCUAGGGUUUUUAAGAAGUAGGUCAUCCAAGGUUGGAUUCUCUCCAUAAUCUUGGGUAUUUUGGGCAUCUUACUCUUCCCUAAUUGCUAAUUUGUUAAAAGCAUAUGUUUUAAAGUAUUGUUCAUAUUGGUGAUGGUUUUGAAACAUGGGUUGAGGGGUUUCGAAUGUUUGCUUUUGAACAAUGUUUCCCAUGGUUUACUUAUGAUUGUUCAUGCUUUAUUCAUGGUUUUGAAUUUAUGGGGUGUAACGCCCCGAAAUCUAAUUCCCGGGAUGCCAUAGGUGCUCCAAACUACCAGAGUACUGAGCUAACCCUGACUGCUUUCUACUAAAUCUGAAUCUCAAAAUAGGGGAAAAUAGAUUGAAAACAUAAUAAAUGCGGAAAUCUUAUCUGAAGCAUACUAAUCUCACAAGUCUUGGUAAAACAAUACUAAAAAAUUUGGAUACGGAAUCAAAAGUCUAAACUGAAUCUGGUAGUCCGAUAAGCCUCUACUGUCUGAAUCUAGAGGUCACUGGACAGGCCACAGCUGACUGAAACUGUCUGAAAUGAUUACUAAAUCAUCUACUAGAUAAAAAGGAAAUCUGAAUAGCUAAGUACUCAAACUAUGAGGGCUCACCAACUGCAGAGAUAUAGAUGAAAUGCUUGAAAAUCACUCACGCUGCUGAGACUGAGCACCUGAACCUACAUUAUAAGACAAUGUAGCACAUAGAUGUAUAUGUGGAUCAGUACUUUGAUGAUGUACUAAGUAUAUAGGGGUGAAUUCAAUAAGUAAACAAUACCAUCAUAAUUUAUAAAAUCAUGCAUGCUAAAUAUAAAUGACUCACAUAGGCUUGAGUAAUCUAAAAUCUGAAGAUCAUAAAUCAUGAACAAUAAAGCAUAUAAUAUGAAUCUUGUUAGCCAUUACAUUCAAUUCUAAAACCUGUUCUUUUCUUAAAACUACCACAUUAUCUUGUCAACUGUAAGGGGAAUACUUAAUCUCAAGACUUUAAGAAAUCUUAAAAUCCAUAGCUUUUAAAACAUAUACUUUUAUCUUAAGGCUUUCAACCAAUAGAUUGUUUUAAGAGUAGAGGACUUCUUUUGGGAGGUUCUUCUAAUCGACAUAAACCAUGUGAGAAUUCAUGGAGUCCAAUGUCUUACCCACAUUGGAGAGAGCUAUUUUCACGCCCCAAAACUAUGUGAUACCUUGGUAACAUACCCAUCUUGGUGCUAAAUACUACUCCCAUUCUUAUGCUCAGGAUCUUAAGAAAUCUACUUCAAAAAAAUUGCAUAAGGGUUUACUAGAAAAAUCAUUUAUGCUUUUCUUUCUUUUAAUCUCAAGUCAUAUGAACAAUGUGGAUUCUUUAUCUUAGCUUAGGACCAAAUGGUCAAAUCUUUAUCAAAAAUCUAAGAAUAAUCUUAUCAUAGGGUGCUUAUGGCACAAACAAUCUUGAAAUAACAAUCUUUAAUUAGGGCUUAAUGACCCAUGCUUCAAACUCAUGUAAAAUCAUAGCAAACAUCAUGCUCAAUAUGCUUCUUAAAAUACGAAAACAAUAUCAAAAUAAUAAAAUGAAGAAUUUCAAUAUCAUGCUUAAACUCAAUUGAGAAAAUCUGAAAAAACACAUUAUCCACAUAAUUAUAUGAAAAUAGUCAUGCAAUUCAACAAUCACUUGAAAUCUCAUAAACUUGUAAAUAACAAUACUGAGUAUAAACCCUAACUUGAAUUUCAUGGGAAAUCAUAUAAAAUUCAGUAAAAUUGGAACUAAAAUAAGUUUUGGGCACAAGGACGAAAGGAUUGUCCUUGUUCAAAACCCCACAUACCCCAAUUGAUGAUCUUAGAUGCUAAAACUUGAAUCUUGGAUCUCUAUUGAUGCUUUGGAGAUGAAUUCUUAGUGUUCUUGAGUUGGGGAUUCUAAAUCUUGAAUUAGCUUGGAGAAUUAAUGGAGAAAUUGGGUUUCUUGGAGAAGGAGCUUUGAUGAUCUAGGGGUUUCUUUUGGAUGAAAUAAGCUUAAAGUGCUUUGGAAUACUUUAAAUCUUGUGUUUUGGACAGAUUGGGGACUUGGGAAUUGACCAAAAUACCUCCUAUAAGCUUUUAAACGAAACUGAAAAAUGUAAUAUUUUCCAAACGGGGUGGCCACCGCUAUGCGCCGCUAUCUCAGUGGCUUACUGGAAGUGGAUGAAUAGGAACUAGUCUUUUACCGCGAUAUGCCACAAUCACGGUGCCCUUUAGUUUGCCAUUUGGCCACUGGUGCGACAUGCUAGUAUCAUGAAGGCUCACUGGAAACUGACAAAUGGGAAAUUAGCCCUCUUUGCGAUGCGCCAAUAUCGUGAAGGUCUACUGGUAUUUGACAAUUAUGAAUUUUUCCUUUUCCGCGACGCGCCAAGUGCCCAGGUGACACAGUGUCAACUUAAAAAUGCCACAACUCCUUCACCAAGUGUCAGAUUUGGGAAAAUCUUAUAUCGAUGGAAAGCUUAUUCAAUUUACCAUAUAAUGGGAAGUCUAAAUCUGAAAAAUUCCACAUAUAAUAAAUAUUUUUUAUUUUUGAAGCUAUCUCUUAAUGUAUUAGGAGCGAAUUUAAGCUAAGAAAGUUUGGGGUAUUAUAUGGGGUGCCUGGGUAUGGUGAAUAAACUAGGGGAUUGUGAUUUUUCGAAUUUGUGAAUAUUGACCAUUAAAGUGGUAAUGACAAUUGGUUUUGAACGUGGAAAAUAUGAAUAUUGAACUCUUGAACUAAUGUAUAAUGUGAAAAGUCAAUGAAGCAUAAUGAUUUUUACUUGAACAUUAUGGGGUUGUGUAAUUCCCCAAGCUAAUGCAUAAUUGAACCAAGGGGGCUAUGAAUUCCCCUAAAUAAUGAAAGUUUUUCUGUAUGUUAAUGUUACCUUGCAAGUGUAAUUGGUAUGACAAUACCAACAAUGUAUUCCUGAAUGUGUAUCAUGGUUCAAUGAAUGUAAACAUGUGAUAAAUACUUUGAUUAGGAUUUAAUGAGGGCUAUGUAGUUGAGUUCCCGAGGGACCAAUACUGGACACUGCGGUUGCCAAAGUGAGGGUCUAAAUGAUCGUGUGGUUUGAGUCCCACAUCUUAUAUUACAUAAUUGGGUUCUUGCAUAACCUUGAUAUGCCGGGAGGUUCGAGUCCCCUAUAGUGUAUAUGUAUACUCUCUGGUUCAUGCGGUCACACACACUGGUGUCCUUUUAUCUAGGGGAGAGUUGGGCCCAUACAACCCGUGGUGCCUUCUUAUGUUAUGAUGGUUGAGCUACACAAUCCAAGCUAAAGUUUUAAAGUGCAUGUUAAGCCUCAUUCCCUAUCCUGACAUGUGAUAUAUAUGUGUAUAUGCAUUUGAUUGUGUGCAUUGGAUUUGAAUAAUUUCGAACUGCUAAUCAUGACAUUAUGUUAUCCUUAUUCCUAAGUUACAUGCUAGUGCUUAACCCACUAUCUUCUGAUGCUGUAUCCCCACCCAAUGCAGGCACUACAGAUACCUCUACUUUCCCCGCAUAGAGUUAGGUGGACCGGGUAGAUUCGUCGGUUCAUUGUGGUGAAGUGG
rnacentral:lncRNA from 1 species